GUUGCAGAAGCUGCACCUCCACUCGGGAGGUUGUUAUCAAUUUAUCACUCUGCUUUCGUGGAGGGAGUUCAAACGGACUUCAAGAUUGAACCAUCGUUUGGAGUUGAAGCCUCGCAGCUUUAUCCUGAUGUCAAGUACACUACAGUUGAUGAGUACCUCAAUCAGUUUGUGUAACCCUUCUCUGCUUCCAGCUGCAGCUUGCAGGAUCUUGGACUCUGGGUAAAUAAAUAAUGGGCUUGUUGCAAUCUUUGGUUUUUAUAUGUAAAAAUUAUGGUUGUUGGCCUUACUUUCUUCUGGUUGUCAAUGGAAUUUGUAAGACCAUUUUAUGUUUGCUAUGUCAGUGAUCAAAUGAAGUAGGCCAUGUACUUGAUCUGAGAAUAAUUAUAAAGCCAACAUGGUCAGGUGAGUGCGUCUGUGGGGCUUUUAUUAGGGUGCGUGUGUGAGGCUUCUGAGGGGCUUGUGAUAUGGGGUCUACAGCCCCUAAUGGGCACGCGACUGCGUGCACUAAAUGAAGUUAUUAUAAAAAUAAUUAUAGAGUCACCAAGGCAAAAAUUAAAAGUAAUUUGCCAAUAAAAAUAGUUAAAAGUAAUAAAAAGUAGGUAUUAUAUUUCAAAAAUCAAUUUUUCAUUAAUGUUUAUAAGAUUAAAUUUGUUCUUAUCUUUCCUUAAUAAACACAAAAAUUUAUCGUUUUGGACUAAUUAAAAUUUUAAAACUAGCUAACAAGCAAACCGCCAUUAAUUUUUUUUUUUCCAUUUCUUUAAUCAUUCUUUUUUCUCUUUUUGACCUUUUUCUUUUUCUUUUCUUCAGUCCUUAUUUUUCUUUUCUUUUUUGGUUUUCCUCUAAACUCUUUAAGAAAGGCUGCCAAGCCUUGAAAAUAUCUCAAAAAAUAAGAUUUUCUUUCUUAAGAUUAACAUUUUAACCACAAAAAUAAAACUCUAGUCCAAACAUUGAGCACUUACAAAUCAAACGAUAAAAACCUCUUAUUAGUACAUUAACCGUAAAAUAAAAAAGAAUUAUCACAAAUAUUGAAAUGUUGUUGUUUGAUGCUUGAGAUUCUUGAAAUGUAUGCAGAAUUCCGACAAUAUUUUGUUGAAGCAACUCUCGGAAACUUGUUUGUUGAGAUUGAUGAAGAGUCCAUGGCAAGUAACCAGGCAUAUUGCAAUCCUUGUAAUUAUUCUGACCGAGAACAAUAAAACAAAAAGUGAAAACUGAAGAAAAUGAUAAGAAAACAAUAGAAUAAUAAUAUUAAAAACUCGCUAAUCUUGCCCAAUUUUUUUUUUUUUUGGAUAAUGUUCAGCGUAUACUAGAAUCUUUUAGAGCAGAAGCAAAACAGCAACAACUUUUCAAGAAAAGAAAAAAAAAAAGAAUUAUUAAAGAAAAUGGAAAAAAGAAUUAACGGCAGUUUAUUUGAUAGCUUUUAGAUAGCCAAAACCGGUGAGUUUUUGUGUUUUAAUAAGGAUAGUUAGGAAUAAAUUUAAUCCUCUCUAUAGAAUCAUUUAGUUACUAUGUGUCAAAAUCUCCUGUAAAGAAUAGGAAAAAUUAAAUUAGAAGAGGAUCCAAAUCAGGACUUGACUAGCUUACAGAAUCUGUAAGCUACGGACUGCAGCAUCAGCCGUUGGAUGUGGUUGGAUGUGGAGUGAGAAAUUAAACAAUAGAAGAUCGGAUGGUGGGAUGACGGGAGAUGUUUGUUACAGAAUCUGUACCAUAGACAGGUCCUCCAAAUCAUCAACAUCUUGGAAUAAACAAAAGAAUCUAAACAAAAGAAACUCGUUUUGCGUGUGAACCAGUUCAAGAUAAAGAGCAGACUAUUGGAAAGAGACAAAUACUACAAGAAUAACAAAACAUUCUACAGUUACUACAUAAGCCUGCAACAAUUAAUUAUUAACUCAAGAUUUAUUACACUUUUUCUUUAAUUUGACAAAGAAACCAAAAAUGAAAUAAAAUUGACAACAGCAAUGAUAUGCUUACAACAAUGAGUAUGAAACUUAGUACAACAAGGACCUUUUUGCUAAUUUUUUCAAAUUUUUAUGAUAUUUUAGAAUUUAUGGGUUUUAUUGAUUUUGAUAAAUUGGAGCAUUUCUCCAUUCAUCUUUUCUGCAUCUAUCCCUAAAUUUCUUAUCUUUGUAAAGUUUUAACUAUGUCUUUGUAAAGUUCUAAAUGAUUAUCUCGUUCAUAGAGAUCUAUAGUUAAAUUAAUUCUUGUAUUUAUAAUCAUUUGUCUCCUUUGAGACAUAGACCAAAUUUUUUCUUCUAACAUUCCUAUGUAUAUUCCUAAGCUAUAUUUCCAGCUUAGGUACAUCUUAUCUAGGAUUUCACAAAUAAAUUGUAAUUUGAGAUCUGCAUCUUGAAUCAACAUCACCAUAUUAUUAUUAUUAUUAUUAUUAUUAUUAUUAUCCAUUGUUUUAUACUCGAUUUUGGGUUCUAUUACUAGUCGCACUUGUCUUGGAUUAUUUCAAGGCUAGAUAGAAUUGAUUCUAUUAAUGCUAUCCUGUUUCCUUCUUCAAAUGAAUCGAAUAUUUUUGGAUCAAUAAUUCUUUUCAUUUCUUCAUACAAGUGUUUGCUUGUAAUUAAUCUAGUUUUAACUAUGGAAAUUGUAUAAGCAACUUGAUAUUCUUGACUAAAGUCUAGAUGAUCAAUUGCGUCUAGAAAUUUAUUAACAGAUCUUUCCAUUUUUAUGAAAUUGAGUUACUUUUAUCACUUCCUAUCUUAUAACAUUUCAGAAUACAAACAAGGCCCAACAUGCUUCCAUUUGUUGCUAAAAUAAAAGAAUAGAGUUCAAGAUUACUAACCAGUGUACAUUUCUCGGAAUUCUAAGAUAGAUUCACUAAUUGCCUCCAACCAUAGAGAGGUCUAUGGUUAACUCCGCCAUAGCUCCACACAUCAUAUAAGAUCACUUCAACGACUGUUACAUAGGCCCAACGCAACAUAUAGCAAACGGGCCUAAAAGAAUAUGUCUAAGUGAUUUGCUUACAGCUGUCUCUGGAAGAGUGCUUAGUAGUAGAAAAUCUUCUUCCUUUAGCACAAGUAUUGGCAUGUAAGGUUCUUGGUUAUUUUCUAAGAGUAUAUAAGAUAUCUGGAAGAUGACAAUUUCGCUCAAAAGAGUUUUAUUUAUUUCAUCAUUGAAAUUAUUUACAGAGGAUGGUUACAGAGAAUACAGGUGUAGGUGUAGGUGUAGGUGUAGGUGUAGGUGUAGGUGAAGGUUAGGCAUGUGAUGUCCUUCCCUUCUUACAUGUUUCUAUUUAUAAUCUUAAAUAGAUAAGGUUAUCUCUUUUACAUGACACUUGUUUAAUUCUCUUGGUGGAUUGUGGAUUCUUUCCUGAUAAGGUGACCCUUCUUCUUUUUAUCAUUAAAGACAGUGGUUGUCUUCUUUUCCUGGUGGUAGACAGCCUUUAUCUGGUUGUAGUGUGCUUUAUCUUUUUGGAAUCUUUCUUUUUGAAUUAUUAAUGCUUUUAGGAUAGCACCUUUUAUCUUUUCCAAUGGUUCCUGUCACAUGCCAAGUAUCAAAUCUUCCUCUAGUGACAUGUCUUCCCCACUAGAAUCCUUUUUUGAUCCUUCGUAGCAGUAGCCACAUGAUGACUGAUGUUUUAGCACCUUGCAUACCUCGUGAUGUGUCAGUAAGCUGGAUUCCACGAGAUUUUCAUAUAUUGCCUUUUUCUUUUUUGAUAUGGCCUGUCUGGCUAAAAUGCUUUCUUUUCUACUUAUAGAAAAGAUUAUAUGCUCCUUUGUGGCUUCGUGGAGCCAUAUUUUUUCCUCACUUAUCCUCUCAAGAGAUUCAUAGAGGACUUUCAUUCCUACGGCUCUUUUGCUGGUGAGAGCUUUGGGUUCGAAAAAUUCAGGAUCAUAAUCAUUAUAGACUUGAUCUAUAUCAAUAGUUGGACUAACUUUUUGCUGCUAAUUCUAACUUAAAUCAUGUGCUGUGCUACCACUUGUUUUCACCGUAUUAAGGGCAAGCAGUGAGGAUCUUGAUAAAAAUUAGUUCUUUUGUUUUGGAUAUCCUUUUGUGGUCAUUAACAGCCUCUGUAUUUUUUUCUAGGAGCUCUUUUAUUUUCCUACAAUCAUCACGGACAUAAACAAGGUUAAGAAAACCGUAUUCAAACAUGUCUUUUAUCAAUUUUGGAUAAGCUCCUAGCACAAAUUUUAUCCUUGGGUAUAACCCUGAAUGAUAUGGUAUUAUAGUCUGGUUAUGAUGAAUCACAUAAGUUAUUUUACCAAUUCUUUUAUAAUUAUAAGCGUUGUCGCUUCCUAAUGGAUUUUUAACCAUAGGAACAGACUGUCCGCUUUUAUUAUAUUGGGGCCUUAAGCUCACUGAAGACCUUUGAGAUUCUUCUUUCUUCAUAUAUUAUUCUUUGAGAUCAUUGAUUGUGAGAAAUUUCUCUAGAUGUGUGACCUUUGAGUUCUGUGAAGAACUCUGGGCAAUCUGAUCCUUAGUUUGAUCCUUAAAAUGGACCUUUUUUUAGCAUAUUACUAAUAGAUUGUUAUGAAAUUUGGACUUCUGGAUGAUUUUGCAAACUUUUCUAUAGGCAAAGUUUGCUCAAUUCUUCAUGGGCAUCAUCUAUCAUGGCAAGCCUAUUAUAAAUUAUACCAUUGCCUUUGAGAAGCAAUUCUUGACCUUCAGAGCACAUUAUUAUGCCCUUAAUUAUUUUGGAAAGACCCUUCUCCAUUGUAUUCUCGGCUAAGAAAAUUUGCAAUAGAAUUGUUAGAUCCUUUAAUAUAUUCAAUUUCAAAAUCAUAUUCAGCAAAAAAACCGUUGCCAUUUAAUUAAUCUUUUAUAUUAAGGGAGAUUAGGCAAUUUAUUAAAUAUAAAUCCUUUAACUCGAGUGUUAUCAGAUCUUACCUUGAAUUUCUUUGGUAACAAAAAAAAGUAAAUUUAGCUAUUCCAUUUUUAAUAGUUAACAGUUCAUUUUCAUUACUAUGAUAAUUCUUCUAUGCGGGUUUGAAUGUUCUGGUGGCAUAUCUACAAAUCUUUUCUUGAUCUGUUUUUAAGACUACACCCCAGUAAUUAUCUGAAGCAUCGGUCUCAAGAAUUAAAUUAUCACUAGAAGUAGGGAAUCCUAAUCUUGGAAGAUUUUUACAUUUUUCUUUCGAUUUUUUUACUACUUUGGUAUGGAGAUCUUUCCAUGAUUUAGUAUUAUUCUUUUUUAAUAAUCCUUGUAAAGAUUGUCUUUCUUUAGCUAAGUUUUCUAUGAAACCUUCAGCAUAAUUAAGAUAUCCUAAAAAUAUUUGAAUUUGUUCUUUAGAUUCUAAUUUAUUUGGGAAUAGAUAUAUUUUCCAAAAAUAUGAGGUUGCAUCUCAAUUCCUGUUUCAUCUAUUAUUAACCCUAGAAAUUCUAUCUUGAGUUUCAUUAUUUCAGCUUUCUUUUUAGGGAGUAAUAUUCCAUGUUUCUUGCAUUUCUCUGCAAAAGAAACGAGAUGAUUAAUAAGAUAUAUCUUAUUAUCUGAAAAUAUAAAAAUAUCAUCUAAAUAAACAAUGUAGAAUUCAUGAAAUUCUUUGAAGAUUUGAUCCAUCCUUCUUUCAAAUAUUUUUGGUGCAUUUUUCAAUCCAAAAGGCAUUACAAUCCAUUCAUAUUAUCCUUGAGGUGUACUAAAGGCAGUAAGUGGUAUACUUUCUACUUUAAGUUUGAUAUGUCAAAAUCCAGAUUUGCAAUCAAACUUGCUAAAUGUCUUUUUAUCGGUCACGGAGAUAAUUAAUGUAUCUUUAUAAGGUAAAAAAUAUCCAUUGAAUUUGGUAUAUUUAUUUAAUUCUUUGUAGUUAAUAACCAUGCGAGCUUUUCCUCAUUUAAUUUCUACAUGAUUUCUAACCAUAAAGGCUGGACUACUAUGAGGACUUUUAGAUUUCAAAUAAUCUUAAGUUCUAAUAACUCUUCAAUUUUUUUUAUCAAAUUCUUGUCCAUGUUCUUGCCCAUCUCUCAUAGGCUUAACUCUUAUGAUACCAUUUAGAUCUGUUAAUUCGAUCUUAGCAUAUGUUUAAUCAAUUUCUCAUAAUUGAAUUGGGUUUUCACCAAAAUUUUUAUCAAGUUUUUCUAAAAUUUUUUCAUAGUCUAACAUGAUUUGAAUGAUUUUUAUAGUGUAAUCAACACACUGACUGUGUCGAAAAUGUAAUUUUUGAGUUGUGCGCCUAACAAGGUUAUAAAUUCUCGGGGUAGUAAUGGAAUGAUUACAUGGUGUUUUGAGAGUAAUGGCUUCAUUAGUCAUUAUAUAAAUGAAUUGACGAAGGAAAUUAACUCCUAAAAGUAUAUAUGUUCCCAUAUGAUCAUAAGACCAGAAUAUAGGGAUACUUAAGAUGUAAUCUUCGAUUUGGAUUAAAGUCUUAAUCCUACAAGUCCCUAAGGUGAUCUGUUCAUCAUUUGUUCCUUAUCCUUUUAAAGGCUUAUAAUCUUUCCAAUAUGGUUUUGGAUAAAUCCUAGAACUGGCAAAACUAACUCCUAAACCAGUAUCGAUUAAAGCAUAAAACCAUUCCAGUUUAUGUUUAUAAUAUGGUAUAAUCACUUUUAUAUAAAUUAUAAAAGGAUUAGACAUAUCUUGAUAUGGUUUGCUUAAUUCCUUCAAUUGUUAUACUUAUUUCUCUAUCUCCUGUACAAUAAGGAGAGAAAUUCUAAAGAAAGUUCAUCCCUAAUAAUAAAGGAUUUAUUUCUGUUUCAUAAUAUGGUUCUAUGAAAAAAGGAAAGAUGAAUUUUGUUCCUUUUAUUUUUAAUGGUAUUUUACAAUAUUUUCUUAAUGUCUUUCUUUCUCUAUUAAAUCCUACAUAAGUAUGAGGUUCAAUUAGAAUUUUUCUUUCUAAAUAUUUAAUCAUUUUAGCAUCUACAUAAGAUUUUGUAGCUCAUGUAUCAAGGAUAGCAAAAGUCUCGUGCCAUGAUUUUCCAUUAUUAUAGUCAAUCUUAAUUUUUAGAUUUUGAUUAUUUUUUCUAAUUGUGGCUAAUAUUUCAUGUGAUGGUGGUGUCACAAGAUGACUACAUCUAGUAAAACUUUGGGUUCCUCUGAAUUUUGGUUCUCUUUUGGGUAUAGAGAAUGAUCUUUUAUGUCUUAUAAUGAUUCUUCCUUCUGGAGUAUAUUCUAUAGAUUUAGUAGUAUUUCCUUUAAUCAGAGUAGGUUGACUACUUAGAUUCAUUUUCCAUUCUUAUGAUAAAUAUAUUUCUCUCUGGAUUUCAGGAUAUUUUAUAUUUCUAACUUUACUAAAUAAUUUAUCUAUUUCAAUAAAAUAUUUAUUAGCAAACAUUUCACUAUUUGCUGAAUUUGUUAAUGCAUAUUUUAUGGCAUACAUUAUGCUAUAUGGAUAAGACCCCUCAUGCAUUAUAUCAAAGUAUUUAAAAUCAUGACAUAAGGUUAAUGUUUUAUUUAUAUUUCUAUCCCUAAGACUUAUAGAAUAUUUAGGAUAUAUCUUAAAUAUCAAUUUUUUAUAACUCAAGUUUCCUUGUAUUAUUCUAGGGACUGCAUGUUUUCGAUCUUGUAUUCUAUUAUCUAGUACUGCUAAAAUUAUUGGACUAUCUAUUCCUUCCCGAAAAUGAGCUUUUAUCAUAAACUGAAUUCCUCCAAUAUGAUCAUAUCCAAUUUUGGGUCUAUUGCUAGAUUUUAUCUUACUGAUUUUAUCUUCUAUAUCAGUCUUUAAUAAUAAUGGUAUAUUUGUAUUUCCCUUAGCAUACCUAAUUUCAAUAUGUUCUUCUCACACAGUAGCACUGAAAUACAUAACAUUUUUUCUUUUAAUCAUGGUGGCAAUUCCUAGAGCUAACUUAUUGACUGAAGUCAAGGAUGAUUCUAAUCAUUUUUUUGUUAAUCUUGAGGUAUUGUUUUUUUUUUUUAUCAAAGAUUAAUUCUUUGUUAAAAGAACCUUGUUCUUCUAAUUCUUCAUCUUGAUAUAAAUGCUUAUUAUCUAAUUCUUCUAUACUCAUUCCAAAUAUGAUUUUGAAUCUGAGCUACUUAAAGUUUCUUCAGAAAGAUAAUAUAUGCUAUCACUUUCACUAAUACCUUCACUAUCUGUGAUUAAUUCUAAAUCAUUAAAAUCCUCAAACAUUUUUAUAUUUUCUUUUUUCUUUUUAGGACAUUCAUUUGUAUAAUGCCCUUCUUCAUUACAUAACCACCACUUGCAUUCUUUAACUACAUUGGUUUUAAAUCUUCUUUUAAAUUUAUUUUUCUUGUAGAAUUUCUUCUUAUAUUUAUUUUUCUUGUAAUAUUUCUUGUUGCCUUUAAAGAAUCUCUUCUUUUUGAAUUUAUUCCUAUAUUUAUAAGUUUUAUCUGAACAUCCAAAUCUUGGUGGAUCUUCUAACUUAGAGCAAAACAAUCCUUGAUUUAGCCUUUUCAUAAGUCUGUUAUCUCUUAUUUCAGCACACCAUUCACUCAUUCUAUUUCGAGCAAACCUAAUCUUAUUUCCUAAGGUAUCAGUCUCUGUUGUAUCUUCAUAUUUGUUGUUAUAUUCUAGCAUAAUCCUUUUCUCCCAUGGGUCUGGUAUCCUUAUAAAAUAUAGAUCUUAGUAAUAGCAUAUGCUACUUUCAUCUAAUUCACAUUUAUAAUAUAAUUCUUCAAAGCUACACGUGUAUUCUUCUAAAUAACAUAUAUUACAUAUUUCAAGCCUUGUUAGUUUUAUUACAUUUUCCAUCUUUUUUUCACUUUAUUUCUUAUUGAAAACCAGUUUCUCAAUCUUCUCCUAGGAAUUUUUUUCUUAUUUCAUUUUCAAAUCUAUUUAAAACUUGAUCCAAGCUUUCAUUUUGAUUAUUAUUUUCUCCAUACAAUAUUUUAUUUUUGUUAUUAUCGUUUAGUCCCAUAAACGAAUGUGACACUAUUCCUACAAAUGAAGUUUUAAGGAAUUCUAUACUAUUAUUCCUAUCUAUUUUGUUAAAUACAAAUGCCGUUUUCAUAGAUUUAACCCAAGCGAUAAUCGUUUUAUCUCUAUCUUUGACAUAGUCUAAAUCUAACCAUACUCCAUCAUGGUUGAUUGGUCUCUCUCUAUAUUUUCCUGGAGUUUUAUAAUUUUUUUAGGCUUGUUAACCCUAAAAUAUUGAUGUUGUGAUCUUUCAUGAGCUAGUAUUUCUUCUCUAGUAUAGGAAGCUCUAUUACUAGAUUCUCCUUGUUAAAAAACCGUUGGUUUUGAUUCAUUCAUUUUUAAUUGUUCUAUUCUAUUUUCAAUAUCUCAUAAGUUAAUGAGUACAUCCUCUUCCUCUUCGGAUUUAGAUUCUUCAUUGGAUAUUUCUGGAUUGUAUAAUUCUUUUAAUCCAUUGUCUACAUUUUCACUUAGCAUCCUUAAACUUAUUAAUUUUUUAUCUUAGUUUUUUGUUAAAUAUUGUCUAGAUAUUGCUAUCAUUUCUUUAUCUUUCUUUUCGUUGUAGUAAAUUAUGGUGUCUUGUAAGGUUUUAUUUUUUUUUCUUGAAUUACCAUGAGUAAUUCUUCCAUAUUGUUAUUUAUCUUUUGUAUUUCAAUCCUUUUGUAGUUUUCUAUGAAAAAUUAUUUCUAUACACCUCUCUCCUAAUUCUAAAUAGGAGAAUAGGAUCGAUGUUUAAAUUUCUAUUCUUUAUUAUUUUGAGUUCUCCAAUUCUAAAUUCAUGAGCUCUAGAUAAAUAAAAUUGUUCUAAUUGUUUAUCAUCUAAUAUCUCAAGUUUUGAAUAAUAAUAUUGUUUAUGUUUAGUUAUGUUAUCCUUUAUAGUAUUACUAUCUACCAUUAGAUUAUAUCCCCUAUUAUUAAUAAAAUAAACAAUUGUUUCUUCCAUUUUUAUAUUUUGAACCAAAAAUCUGGUUCUGAUACCGUUUUUGCAGACAAUUUUCAAUCCUAAGAUCCAAGUAAGGAUGUAAAUGAUUAAUCUUUAAAAUCUUAUGAAUAUUUUACAAUUUUGCUUUUUUAAAACACACAGUUUUAUGCUAGGUGUUGUGCAAUCUUUUGUAAAAAUUCAUGAACCAAUACUAUAUUGACUUCUCCUAAAAUGCAUAGGUUUGUUAUGAAAUUCUAAGUGUACAACCCAAAAAGUGGGGUGAAUUGGGUUUUUAAAAAUUUAAGCAAUUAUAACCACACAAAAAUUUCAAUUAAUGUCUUAUUUGAUUCAAUAACAAUAAUUUUAACAAUGAAUAAAGUAAAGAGAUGAGGGAGAAGAGAGCAAACAUGAGAUUUUUACAUGGUUCAGCAAAACCUGCCUACGUUGACGCCUCCAAGCUCACUAUGCUUGAAGAUUUCACUAUCCAAGCAUUACAACCCUAAGGCUUCAAGAUGCUUACAAUUGAUUUCUAAGGUUUCCAUGGACCUUUACAUCCAGAGGUUCUCUCAAACCUCUUAACCAAGUGUUUCUCACACUUACAACCACUUAAUUGUGAUAUUGAAAAAAAGUUACACAAAUUUUCCACUCACACAAUAUAUGUGUUUACAACUAAAAGCCUAGAGUGUGUUUCAAUGAAAGAAUAAAAACAUUUAAGCUCAAGACAGAUUAAACAUGCAAAAGUAAGCUCAAUGCCAAUUUUUGAAUUCGUUAUUGAUUGAAUAUGAUUAAUCCUUUUGAUAGUUGGAGCUGAAAACUAGCCGUUAUUGACUUUCUGCACAAGGUCGGAUCAUCGUUAAUACUUAUCGGACUGCUGUUUUGACUUGAUCAAGUUACCGUUAGGCGAAAAUCUAAAUUUUCGGAUCACCAUUUUCGAGACAUUGAAUUGUUGUUAGUUUCUAGUAACAUUGCGAGAAAAUAGUUGGCUUACCGUUUUCAAAAUGUCAUAUCGUCGUUAGUUUCCAAAUCCAUUCGAUGUCGGUUAGCCAUUUGCUACAUUAACUGCUACAUUGAAACUAUUUUUUAAAAUUAUAUUUUUGCCAUGCUUUCUAUAAUUAUACUGUAGCCCAAAUCUUCAUAAUACUUUACAAAUAGGUCCAUUUUCAGAGUUUCAAAACAUACUUUUUAUUUCCAAAACUUUAUGAAAUUAUACUAUAACCCAAAAAUAUAUAAAAUAUUUCAAAUAGGUUCAUUUCUAGAAUUUUAAAACAAUACUUGUUGAUUUCAAAGUUCUCAAAACUUUUUAAAUUUAGAGCAUUAACUUCAAAAUAACCAAUUUCAUAAAAUCAUUUUUUUCAUUAAGAUUUAUGAAAAAUGACUUGAGCUUUUAAAUGCUUAAGCAUGCAUAUAUUUAAUCAUACUAGCUUUACAAGAAAUGUAACAAGAGAAAUCACCUAAGCUAGUACCUCUAAUGCUUGUUCUUGACUUAGUGAGCUUUUUACCUUCGUCUAUUUGAGUGCCUUGAACUUGAUCACACACACACACACACACACACACACACACACACACACACACAUAUAUAUAUAUAUAUAUAUAUAUAUAUAUAUAUAUAUAUAUAUCAUUUUAUCCUUUUAUCCUUAACACGUGGUUUGUUAUUAUCAAAACCCAAGUUCGUACAACCGCUUAGGCCAACAUGUUACUCCCAAUCAAUUGACUUCUGACAUGACUACUUCCAAAAUGGCUAGUACCAAAAGGGAAUCCUUCUGGGAUGAGAAUUGAAAAACAUGCCUCUUCUAGCACUAAAAUUACUCCUUCCACCUAUAUUUCCACUAUAAUGUCCUUAAAAUCCUCCGGCAUAUCCACCUCUUUUAGUAUUGCCUCCUAUUUGUGCAUGAUAGUAAUUAAUUAUGCCAUAGUUAUUAUGGUUAGCAAAGUUAGCACAAUUUGCAUUGAAUAUGUGUUUUUCAUUAUGACUUUGUUCAAGUCUUGCCUCUUGAGUAAGCAAUAGAGCAUACGCACCAUCAUAAUAUAACUUGCUAGCAGUAAUAAAAGUAGAUAAAUGCAGAUGGCUAGCUCCAAAACUAUUGAGAAUUUGUUAAACAUAUCUUUAUCAGAAAUAGGACUACCAACACAUGUCAAUUUAUCUGCUAUUUAUUUAAUCUUUAAGCAAUACUCUUCUAUGCUUAGUGACUUUUUUUCUCAAAGCAUUCAUCUCAUAUCUCAUUUGAAGAAUCCUACCCUCAUAAUGUUGCCUAAACUUUUUCUGUAAUGUUUUUCAUACAUCAAGUAAGGUGUUAUAAGAAUGAACAAGACCGAGAAUACCUUCAGUGAUAGAGCUGAGUAACUAGCUAAGUAAUGUGUGAUCUUGAGAUCUCCAAACAAUGAACUCAGGAUUUUCAAUCUGUUAAGUAGAUGCAGCAACUGCUCUAGCAUAGCUGAUGAAUCAAUGAAUUGAUUUGGUGCUUCAUUUUCUCUAGUUAUGUAUCCUUCGGUUUCCUCUUAUAAAAGCUAGAACUUGAUUUUGCCACAGCAUGUAAUUUGAUCAAUCGAAUGUGAUUGGAGUGAUGAAACAGAAUGUUGUUUGCAUUGAUUGAUUUGUAGAGAUUGCAAUUGAAUUUGUGCUUACAUUGCUUGAGCUUGCCAUUUUGGCUCAGAUACCAUGAAUAAAUUAUUGGAAGUUGAGUUAUAGUUGCUGUUUAACAGCUGAGAAAAUAGAGGAAAAUUCUCUGGAAAUUCUAAAUGUUUCCUAUUGAGCAAACGAAAGAUUAACAUACUAUAUAUAUACAAGUUUCUAAAUUGUUUCUAGCUAAUUUACAGUACAGCUAAUCAAUAGAUUUGAUCCAAAGUAAAACUAAUUAGUUUCACACAUAAGGAGCACGUGAAUCCAUCAUCGUUGCAUAAUCGAACAUGUUGACUUAGCUGCUGACUUGGCAUUGACAGCUGAUUUGCUUCUUUUUUGUAACUCUGGAUAGUGUGCUUUCUUCACAAGUUUCCCCAAAUCUCCAUUAUGUACAGCUUCUGCAAAAAUUUCCUAACCAAACCAUUUAUUUGUAAUUUCCUCUUGUGUUGGCCCUAUGCCAUCAUCAAGUGGUACCGUGAGAGGAUUUCCAUCUAGAUUACCCUGAUCUUUGUCUGAAUCAUAACUAGUAUGCAUAGUGUUUUCAUCCUCAUCACCCUGCGCAGCCAAAACAAAAUGCUUAACAUUACAUAUACAGUAAAACCUCUCUAUAGUCAUAUUGUUGGGAUUAAACUAAUUUUAUUAAUAUGAAGAUGUUAUAAACUUAAUGGAAAUUCAGUGACAAAUCUAUUGAUUAGCUGUGCUACUUUGAUAAUUAAUUAAUGAAGCAUGUCAAAUCUAAUGCAUUGACAUUGAUAAAAGAGGUAAACAUAUAAUUUAAAAAACUAGUACUUAUAUCUAUCAUCUGUGUAGUAUUGGGAACAUGCAAAGUCUUCUUAUUGAAAAUCUAAAGAAUAAAUUAUUAUCCAAAAUAAUUUCAGAAAAAUAUUAUAUUUCAUCUUAAAUCUUUCAUGUAACAUAGCAAAUUUUUUUUUUUUUUGCUCAAUAUACAUAUUAGUAAUACUGUGUGGAUGCGUGUUCCUUAAGAUAUGCUCUAUAAAAGUUGUUAACUUAUUACAAUGUGAAGUUUGUUCUUAUUUAUAAUUGGCUUAAAGCAGGAAUAAGAUUUUUUGUGACUAUUGGACGUUGUUCUUAUAAAAUGUAUCACUACAGAGAGAUUUUAUUAUAAUUCUAAACCGAGAAAAGAAAGUGUAAUCCUAAUAAAUCACCAUCGAUUAGAGCUAUAAUGAAUUAAGCUUUACAAAGAAGAAGAAGAAAGAUUACAAUGUGAAGGCAACAAGAAUCAUGACAAAGUGAGAAAAAGAGAGGCCACAUAAGCCCCAAGGGAAAUUGAGAUUUUAUAACACAGCCUAAUUGCAGAAAGCAUAGGCGAAAAACAGGUGCUUGAUUGCAAACAUGCACACGCGCGCGCGCACACACAAUUUGACCACAAAGACCGCAUACCUUUGAGAGUUGGUCCUCUGGGGCAUAGGCAUUUUUCGCACGUUUUCGUGCUUCCUCCUUUUAUGGCCACGUAGUUUUCGUAAGCUUGAUCAAGAAACUCCUCCAAUUGUUCAUCAUACCUAACACCAAAAAAAUGUCAUAAGAUCACAAAGGCAUAAGUUGAUAGAUAUAUUUGUCAAGAUAAUGCGACAGAAGAUAUAGGUAGAAAAGAAUUACUUUCUGCAUUCUUUAUCAGAGUCACUGUCACUGGACAAUUGCUCUUGAGUGUCUCUAUCGGGUCUCUCAUCUUCACAGCCCUCUGCAGUAGCAUUCUCAUCAUCAUCAUCAUAUUCAACAGCAGCAAGAUCUUUUUUACCCUAAACCGAUCAUUCAAGUUUAUAAAAGAAUGAGAUACUUGCCUUAGACCACACUUUUGAAUUGGAAAAAACUAAUAAAUCAAAAUUGCAACUAAUAUUGUCCUACCCAGCCAUUUUUCAUUUAUCCUGAUGUCAAGUACACUACAAUCGAUGAGUACCUCAGUCAGUUUGCGUAACCCUUCUCUGUUGAGUUGUAGCUUGCAGGAUAUUGGGAAAUAAAUAAUUGGCUUGUUGCCAUCUUUGGUUUGUAUCUGUAAACAUUAUGGUUGUUGGCCUUACCUUCUUUUGGUUUUCUAUGGAAUUUGUAGCACCAUAUUUUGUCCACUAUGUCAGUACACCAGUGAUUAAACAAAGUAGUCUCAUGUGCUUGAUCUAAAAAUAAUUAUAAAGUCACCAUGUGGUUGAUCUAAAGAUAAUUAUAAAGUCACAAACACAGAAAAAUUAAAAGUAAUUCAUAAACAUUUGUCAUGUGAAAUUUACUUAAUGGAAGAGAAAUUCUAGGAAACAACUUUAUGGUGAGAAAACUCUAAAAAUCAAACCGAAAGAUAUAUAAUAAAUAAUUUUAUAAGAAUUAGGCUAUGUUUCAAAUAAUAUCACAUAUAGUAAAUUUAUGAGUUGUCGCUCAUCAUAACUCAAUUGUUUCACAUAUUGUAAUUCUUUAAUUUUGAAUAACAACAUAUGUUUCAUAAGAUUUAAAAUGGUAUGACUCAUUUUAUAAUAUUUUUAACUGAAUUGAAAUUCUGCAACUAUAAAAAUUGAAAAGAAUGAACUUGGCGGUAUUACGCUUAUAGUAUUGUUUCUUAUGGUGAACCAAAAGCAAGCCAAAAUUACGCUUACAUCAUCUUACUCUACCGUAAAACUUAUUUAUAAUCAUAACGGUAACACUAAAUUAAUUUUAUUACUGUGAGAGUUUAAUAUUUAAUAGAGGUGUAGUUACAAAAAUUAUUAUUUUAACUUAAUUAUUUUUUGUGCAAGUGAUAUAGCGAUAAAAUAUGCACUAUAUUAAUAACUAAUUAAUACAGCAUGUCAAAUUCAAUGUACUAACAAUGAUGAAAAAGAUAGGCAUAGUUUGAAAAAAACUAGUACAUAUAUCUUUAUAGUGCUGGAAUUAUGUAAAAUCAUCUUGAAAGUCUAAAGAAUAAAUGAUUGUACAAAAUAAUUUUAGAAAAAUAUUUUACUUCAUCUUAAACCUUUAACAUAAUAAGGGAUAUAUUUUUUACAAUAUACCGAUAAUUAUUACUAUUAGAGGUAACUUUCUUAAAACCGGAUUUAAAAAAAUUAUAAUUUAUCAUAAUAUAGAGUUUAUUCUUAUUUAUAAUUAUUAGGCUUGAUAAUCGACUGGGUCGUGUUUGGGCCAUGCCAAGCUCUAGCCCAACUAGGGGUGGCAAAACGAAUAAACGAAUCGAAUUUGAAUCGAAUCGUAAACGAAUUGGGUCAAAAUUAUAUGGAUUCGGAUUCGAUUCGUUUAUUAAACGAAUUGAAAUUUCAGGAUUCAGAUUCGAUUCGGUUAUUAAACAAAUAUUCGGUUCAAUUCGUUUAAUUCGUUUAAUAGAAUUGAUAAACGAAUCGAAUCGAAUCCGGAUUCGUUUAUUAUUCGCUUAUCCUUUACGAAUCCAUAACGAAUCGAAUCGAAUCAGGAUUCGUUUACAAUUCAUUUAGAAAAAUAUAAUUAAUAAACAAAAUUAAGCAAAAAAAACACAAAUUUAAUAUCCCACAACAAAAUACAAAUAAUUCAAAUCAUAUUAUACAGUCAUCCAAAUACUAAAUUACAAAUCCUUAAUAUUACAAAUAACAAUAAUUCAAAUUCAAAUUAUAAAGAAAUGUAAUUUCUUUAAUUCUCUUCAUUUGUCUUUGUCGCCUUGAAAACAAAAAUCCUACACCAAAAAGUAAAUAAAAUGUUAUUAACAUGCUGCAAUAUUGAUAAUAGUCAUUGUAAAAUUUCAAAAAUCAAAUAUAUAGCAAAUUUGUAGCAUUUUCAAGAAAAUAAUAAUUAAACAAGAUAAAAACUUUACCUACCACACUCACACACUGUCAUUUGGAUCAUUGGCACUCUCUGCAGAUGGAGCACAAUUAGUGCUCAUGUUCAUAAUGUUUUGAGUAAGUUGGUCCACAGUGACAUCCAAAUUUUCUACAAUAAUUUUAUAAAAAUAAAUCUUAAUUAGAAACAAUUGCACAUAAUAUUAUAAAAGAAAAGUAAAUAAAUUUUAUGAGCAAGUUUUACCAAUCUCUCCAAACUUCCAAUCUCUAGUAGUAAUAAUUGCUUGAACUAUCUCUAGUAGUAAUAAUUACUUGAACUGUCUCUGGCUUCAAUACACUUCAAAAUUGAUCAAGAACUCAACCGCCAAACAACAACAAAACAACAGUAAAACAGCAACAAAAUAGCAGCAAAAUAGUAGUAAAACAACAACAAAAUAUCAGUAAAAUAGCAGUAAAACAACAACAAAAUAGUGGAAAAAUAACAAAAAAAAUGGUAGCGAAACAGCAGCCAAACAACAGCAGUAAAACAGCAGCGAAACAGCAGUAAAACGACAGUAAAAUAGCAGUAAAUCAGCAACAAAACAACAGCAAAACAGUAAUAAAACAGCAACAAAACAGCAACAAAACAACAGCAAAACGGUAAUAAAACAGCAAUAAAAGGCAAAUUUUCAGUGGUGUACCGUGAUGGUGGGUAGUUAGCGCGGCGGGAAGUGGUGCUGGGGAUGAAAACCUUCAAAUUUUAAAAAGCUUUCAAAUAAAUUUAAGGAUAAAAAAGUAAUUUAAUUAAACGAAUAAUAAACUAAUCGACCCGUAUUCGAUUGGUUUAUGACCGAUUUAUUAAACGAAUAAACGAAUCAAAAUUUUCAAACCUGCAUUCGAUUCGUUUAAUUAACGAAUCGAAUCGAAUUCACCCAUUUAUUAAACGAAUCAAUUUUUUCAAACUCAAACCCAUUUAAUUUGCAUCGAAUCGAAUCAAAUAAACGAAUCCUGACCCAUAUUGCCACCCCUGCCCAACCCUAUGAUUAAAAUGAAGGACUCUAAUACUAAAAAGCUUGACCCUUCAAACUAAAGAACAACCUGGCUUUAAUAAUUUUUUUAUAUUUUAUUUUUUUUUUUAAGAAUAUGACUCCUAUUCUUCAUUCUUUAGUAAUAUUAUUAUUAUUAUUAUUGUUCCUUUUUUUUGUUGGAUUUGUUUGUAAGGAAUUUAAUAAAUUAUUUUUUAUUUAACUUAACAACAAUAGAACGUUUAACAAUCUAACAAAAUUAAUAUAUUAACCAAGCAAUAGGUAAAUAAAUCAAAUACAAAAUAACAAAAUUAAUAUGAAAUAGAGAUAAAUAUCCCUAAAGUGUAGUUGUGACCAUCUAUGUGUAUGUGUGUUUAAUAAUAUUUUUAUUUUAAAAAUUAAUUUAAAGAUCAAGAGUUGAGUUAAAACAUUUUGGUAAAACUUUAACCCUAACCCAAAUGUAAUUAGGUCCUGAUUCCUUAAGCCCUAACCCAACGUUUAACCUUUCAAAUUCGAGUCAAAACCAUUAAAAUUAAGAUCGAAUCAAUCAAGUCGAGGGUCGGAUAAAACCUUUUUGUCAUCCUAAAAAUUACCCUAAAUUAAAAUCAAAAUUUUUUAAAAUUAUAUAAAAAUUAUUCUUAUACACAGUAACAAUAUACGACCCAACAAGAAAUGAACCUGGACGCAUUAGGGCUUUGAUCCACAAACAAACUUUCAAAACCCUCUUAGACCUCAAGAGCAUUUUAGUCCAUUUAAUCAAAAGUAAAAGUGCGGCUACCAGCUAACUCUCCGGAAUUGAACUGAACGAGUUUCAGAAAUGGCAUCGAAAAGCAAGAUUCUAUCCAUCGGCGGGACAGGGUAUAUCGGUAAAUUCAUCGUGGAAGCUAGCGUGAAAGCCGGCCACCCGACGUUCGUGCUCGUGAGGGAAUCCACAGUCUCUGGUCCUUCCAAAUCUCAGCUCCUCGACCACUUCAAAAACCUCGGCGUCAAUUUCCUUGUCGUGAGUUAUCAAUUUUUUUUUUCAUUUUUUUAAUUCCAAAUUUUGACACGUGGCGGUGUAGCCUCUACUUGAUAGACUUGGUUUUUUUUUUUAAUUUAAUUUUUGUGGGUGCUGUUAUUAUUAUGCAGGGAGAUGUUUUGAAUCACGAGAGUUUGGUGAAGGCGAUAAAACAAGUGGACGUGGUGAUAUCAACAGUUGGUCACACUUUAAUAGCCGAUCAGGUCAAGAUUAUUGCUGCCAUUAAAGAAGCCGGUAACGUUAAGGUAUGACAUAAUUAAUGUAAAUGUCUUAGAUUCCGAUCAGGAUUGUGCACUCGUGCACACGUGGUGAUUUAUUCUUCGUGUGGAGCUCGCUGUAGAGUAGAGCUCCCAGUUCCGCUAAUAAACACCCGUCACAUGCGCAAUUGCGCCUCAAAAUAAUUUAAUUAAUUAAUUAGGUAUAAACACCGAUGGCAUGAAAGCAAUUAAAAUUAGUUGAUGUUUAUAAAUUAUUUAUUACUCAGAGAUUCUUCCCAUCGGAAUUUGGAAAUGAUGUUGAUCGAGUCCAUGGCGCCGUGGAGCCAACAAAAUCGACGUAUGACGUAAAGGCGAACAUCCGCCGAGCCGUUGAGGCAGAAGGCAUUCCGUACACGUACGUAGAAUCUUAUUUUUUUGAUGGCUACUUCCUCCCUAAUUUGUUGCAGCCUGGGGCCACUGCCCCCCCUAGGGAUAAGGUUGUCAUCUUCGGCGAUGGAAAUCCAAAAGGUAACAUAAUUUAAUUAAGCUCUGUUUGUUUGGUAUGUAUUUCGGUGUUAAUGUUAUUGUCUGUUGUACAAUGGAUGGUCUUGCUUGGUACUGUUGUUGGAGAGCUGCAGUGUUUUGAUAAACACCUCUAUCCUUAGCUUUCAAGUUAAGUUGAUUUUAUACAACACUUGUUUAAUUAAAAACUUGUAAUAUUCUUACUACUUUGAUAAAAAAAAUAUUACGAUUAAAGUAUUAAUGGCACCAUAAUACGAAGUGAAUCUUAAGUGGUCAUUAUAGAUUUUAAGAUAGAGUUUUAAGUGAUUACCAGAUACUUUAGCUGCUGAACCGCCACAUCAUGGUUGCCACACAACAAUUUCAAACAGAGCCUAAAUAACUUCAUUGCAAAACAGUUAAAUGAAUCUAACUUAGUUUCGUCGUUUGAUUUUCAGCUGUUUUUAACAAGGAAGAUGAUAUUGGAACCUACACUAUCAAAGCGGUUGAUGAUCCGAGAACCUUGAACAAAAACUUUUACAUUCAGCCUCCCGGUAAUAUUUACUCAUUCAAUGAUCUUGUGUCUCUGUGGGAGAGAAAGAUUGGUAAAACCCUCGAAAAGGAGUAUGUUUCAGAGGAGCAGCUCCUAAAGAAUAUUCAAGGUUGGUUAAAACUCUCUUUUUUAAAUGUAUUAAAGAGAGCCGUAUAUUCUCUGCCGUAAAUGUUAUUGAUCCUGUCUUCUCCAAAAUGUUGCAGAAGCUGCAUCUCCACACAAUUUUAUAUUAUCAAUUUAUCACUCUGCUUUCGUGAAGGGAGUUCAAACUAACUUCAAGAUUGAACCAUCUUUUGGAGUUGAAGCCUCGCAGCUUUAUCCUGAUGUCAAGUACACUACAGUUGAUGAGUACCUCAAUCAGUUUGUGUAACCCUUCUCUGUUUCCAGCUGCAGCUUGCAGGAUCUUGGACUGUUGGUAAAUAAAUAAUUGGCUUGUUGCCAUCUUUGGUUUUAUAUGUAAAAAUUAUGGUUGUUGGCCUUACUUUCUUCUGGUUGUCCAUGGAAUUUGUUAGACCAUAUUAUGUUUGCUAUGUCAGUGAUCAAAUGAAGUAGGCCAUGUACUUGAUUUGAGAGUAGUAGUUAUAAAGCCAUCAUGAUCAGGUGGGUGCGUAGGUUGGGCUUCUAUUAGGGUGCGUGUGUUGGGCUUCAGGGGCUUGUGAUAUGGGUUCGACAGCCCCUAACGGGCAGUCAUUAUAAAAAUAAUUAUAGAGUUACAAAUCUAUGUAAAAAGCAAAAAUUAAAAGUAAUUUAUCAAUAAAAAUAAUUAAAAUUAAUAAAAAGUAGGUAUGAUAAUUCAGAAAUUAAAUUAAAGAUAGAAUUCUAAAGAGUUGGAUAAUCCUCCAACUAAACUAAAGAUCUAGUACUUUUGAGAGCAAAUUUAAUUAAAGAAAAGGAUAAGGAAAAACAAUAGAAUAAUAAUAUUAAAAAAUUGCAAAUCUUGGUCUUUUUUUUUUACGAUGAUGUUGAAUUCUUAUAAAUUUAAUCUUAUCUAUAGAAUUAUUUAGUUACUGUAUGUCAAAAUUUCCUAUAAAGAUGAAGAAAAAUUAUAUUAGGAGAAGAUCCAAAUCCGUUUAACUGAUGCAUCAUCGACAACAUGAGUACAACAUUUUCGAAUAAACAAAAGAAACUCGUUUUAUGUGUGAACCAGUUCCAAAAUAAAGAGCAGACUAUUGGAAGGAGACAAAUACUACAAGAAGAACAAAACAUUCUACAAUUCCUACAUGAGCCCGCAACAAUUAAUUAUUAACUCGACAUUCAUUACACUUUUUCUUUAAUUUGACAAAGAAACCAAAAAUAAGAUAAAAUUGACUAAGAAAUAAAAAAAUGACAAAAAUCUUUUUGAAGUUUUGCCAGUUCAGCCAUGCACGCUUAUCUUUAUUCACUUGUUUCCUUUCUUUCCUUUCUUUCCUUUCUUUCCUUUCUUUGCUGAAGCCUUCACAGAUCCUUUACCUUUCUGAGCCUUGCCAAUUUUCCCCUUCUUCAAACCACCUGGCCUUGCUGGAUCCACGUGUCCUUGCAUCCUUUUUCAUUCGUGGAUCAACAAGAAUCUCCCCCUUUCCAGCUCUCUCUUGAACUCCUUGCUUUGCGACCAUGUAUUCUUUGGUAGGCCUUUUGGGUAUAGUUGUCUUGUAUAAUUGUUCAAUUUGAUUCCUCUUCGAACGAUCAGAGAUGUCCGCUUAGUCUGAUAUGACAUUUGCCUUCUUGCGAACCUUCUCAAGAUUUCGCAUGGCAACCCGUAUCUUUCGAGCUUUGGUCUUAGCCACCUUCUUGGCAGUAUGGGUGGGCGAUUCGAUUUUGGGAUAAACUUUUGGUUUCGUAUCGGUUUAGAUUAAAAAAUAAUAUAAAAAAAUAUUUAGAUUUUAAGGGAAAAAAUCCGAACCGAGACUCACCUAUCGAUUUUGGCUCGGUUUCAGUUCAGUUUUGAUUCUCCUAAUAGUUUUAUUUUGCCUUAUUGACUUCCGGUCAAUGACACUUUUGAAAAAUUUACAAAAAAAAAAAAAAUGGCCAUAACAAAAUUUCUAAAUGCAAAUAUUUCCUAAACAUUAGGCUAUACUAAAUUUUUUUAAAAGGUAGGGAUCCAAACGAUAUUAUCCCUCUACUUCAUCUUCAACCUUCGUCACUAGGGAUGGCAAAAUUCAGGUUCGGGUUCGGGUCCGGGUUUAGCCAUUCGGGAUCCGGACCCGGAUGAAUAUUUUCUGUAUCGGACCCGAAAAUAAACCCGCAUUUUUCCACUCCGAGUCUGGUACGGGUUCAACCCGAAAAAAUUCGGGUUCCCAGACUGCGGGUUUCCAACCCGAAUUGAUGAAUCCAAUUGAAAAAAAAAAACUAAAUUCAACUAAAAAAAUCAAAUAGAAAUACAUAUCCAGGAUUUUAGCAAAUCAAAGAAAAAUUAUUUCAUCUGGAAACUAAUUAACAAAAACAACAAUUUUGUUUGGCUGCCCAGAAUCAGCAACCCAAUGUGGCGGCUCGUUCAAAACAUUAGUGUUUUCAACAGAUUUUGGGGUAGGAAAAGCCAAACCUAUCUAGAACAAUGAAUUUGUAUUUUUGGGGGAGAUGAGAUACCUCACUGGUUUGUUGUGUGCGGUGCAGUGUAUCUGAAAUUUGGGGGAUGUGAGAAGGGGAGAGGGAGUGGUAACAAUGGUGAAAGGUCAAAACCAAUAGAGAUGUCCUUCAAAAUGAGCUUCACACCUGUAAAACAGUGAAAUAAAGGUUAGAGGUGAAGCCGGGAUACCCCGGUGUUCACACUCCGAUGCUCAAGUUAGCAAACUCAAGCUUUUAUGACAAAGAGAACUGGCUAGCCCUCUGUAAAUUAGGGUUUAAGGUUCAAGGAAACCUAUUUUUUGGAAUGUGAGUGUUAAUGGUGAGUGAGAGACCUCUUCGAGAAUGAAACAUAGGCGCCUUUAUAUAUGGAGUACCUCAGCUGCCACAUGACGUACCCUUUUUUGGCUAACGUCAUUUUUCCUUUUUAUGAUUUUUGGGUCGUUAUGUGCAUGUUCGCGGGGUAUCUCAUCUUUUGGAAACGUGGCGCGCGCUGGAGAGUGGUCCAGGGUACCUCUGCAGUAGCUGUCGGGUAGGCAGCUGAAGACCACUGUCCUUGGGACAAUGUCCUUCACUUUUGGUAAAGGUGACAGGCGGUUGUCCCCCUUUUUAACACGACAUUUUUUAUUCCUAAUUAUGACAAAAUCGAAUAAUAUCUUUUAAGAGAUGGAGACGUUUCUCAUGGUGGAUAUUUUCAGAGGAUUCUCUUGCAUCUGAUCAGCCGGGUUCCUCCAGUUAUGCAGGGUACCUCUAAUUUUACGGGGUACCUCUAUUUGCGCAGGGUACCUUGAAUCAUGCUAGGUACCUUAGAUUAUGCGGGGUACCUCAUAUUGUGUGGGGUACCUCUAAUUGUGCGGGAUACCUCUAUUUGCGCUAGGUACCUUGAAUCAUGCUGGGUACCUCAGAUUGUGCGGGGUACCUCUAUUUGUGCAGGGUACCUUGAAUCAUGCUGGGCACCUCAGAUUGUGCGGGGUACCUUUAGUCAUGCGAGGUACUUUUAAUCAGGCCAGGUACCCUCUAAUUGUGCUGAGUACCUCUAAUCAUGCAGGGUACCUCUAAUCAUGCGGGGUACCUCUAAUCAGGCCGGGUACCUCAGAUUGUGCGGGGUACCUCUAUUUGCGCAGGGUACCUUGAAUCAUGCCGGGUAUCUCAGAUUGUGCGGGGUACCUCAAAUUGUGUGGGGUACCUCUAAUCGUGCGGGGUACCUCUAAUCAUGUCGGGUACCUCGGAUUGCACUGAAAUUAUUCCAUUCGUUGACACGUGGCGUUAUGCUAUCUUUCUUAUUUUUCCCCCAAACAACAUCCCUCUAGUUUCUUUUGGCAAGAAGUUUUGGAGGCAAAAGAAACUUACAUAAAAAGUAGGAGCGACACGUGGCGAUAUGAUGUUUAGCUCGAUGGAUAACUAAAUAGAGGGCGCCUCUAGGGGUACCCUGAGAACCCAAAAAGGGAAGAUGGGCUCCAUUUCCUCGGAAAUGGCUACCACUUUGGACAUGUUGGAAAUGAUAGAGCUAAUUGAUCAAAAAAAUUUCAUCUAUUUCUGGGGAAGAACACCAAAUACGGGUAGAGGGUAUCGUUAGGGUACCCCACCAUUAUCCAUAGUUUGUUUUCUAGUGACUGCCAUGUAUAAAUCGCUCUGGUGAAGGCUUCAAUACAUUCUUUGGGCAUUUAAGAAGCAAUUAUUUGAUUAUCUCGGGAUCCACCUUAUUUAAGGGUAUAUUUCCUUCAUGUGCUUCGAAGAAAAAAAUAAAAUCACAGGGCCUUCUUCCUUGUAACUUCAGAGGUACCAUCGACAGAAGAACAUAGUCGACAAUGCUUUUAAGCGUAUCAUGAUCGAGGAAUGGAGUGCUGAUCUGGGGUUGGUGGUGCCAAGAGUGGAGAAGAUGGUAGAUGAACCGGCUAUCUUGAAGGCGAUUAAUGAUAGCGGGGCUCCCAACACAUCUUGGUCUGAAAGCCCAUUGAGAUCAGCUGAGGUACCUCAGAUGAGGUAUCUAUAAGGUACCCCUGAUACUAACCCUUGUGUUUUUGCUACUUUUAGCACUUUAUUGAUCCCUUCAUCCUAAGGGAUGAAGUUGAAGAUAAAUAUCCUGUUGUAUAACCUUGUUCGACAUUACUGACAAGAUGUAUGGGGUACCUUGUUAGCCUAUAUGGCUAUAAAUAUUGAUUUUGAUGAUAACAAACCACAUGUAUUUAUUGAGUAAAGAUUUAUGAAUUGUGCUUUUAUAAUGAGAAAAUGAUGUUAUGGAAUUAAAUCUUUUUGAACUAAAAUGAAAGUAAUUUUAAAAUCUUUGAUAGUAUUUUAAAUUUCGGAUUUGUACAUAUUUGAAACUAUUUAAAUGUUUUUAGGUCAUUUUGUAAUUUCACAAAGUUUGGGCGAAGUCAUAAUUUCAUAAAGUUGUGGGAUUGAGAAAGCAUUAUCUAAAAUUAUGAAAUUGGACAUAUUUGCAAACGUUUAUAACGUUUUGGGCCAUACCACAGUUUUAUAAAGUUUUAGGGUCAAAUUGAAAAUAUUAGAAAAUUUUCACUGUAGCAGGUUACUGUAGCAAGCAGCUUACCGGAUUCAGAAAAUCAGAAAUCCGGAUUCGAGGCAGUAAGCAUCCAGAACCAAAACGGCUUACCGGAUUCCUGAAUCCGGCAAACCGGUUAGGCAAAAUUUUGAAUUUUGCCUUAACGGUAACAUAAAUCCGGCUUACCGAAUUCUAUAAAAUGGCAAACUGGAUAGCCUAGAAUGUGAGUAACGGCUAGUUUUCGAGCUCAAGCUAUAAGAACUCAAAUCCAACUCAUUUUGAAGCUCUCCAACAAGCAAGAACAAAAAGCACACGUGAUAUCUUGAGCCUUCAACUUGUAAAACACAAUUCAUUGAAUCAUUCAUUGUUCUUCAUCUUUGAAUAUCUACUCAUUGAGUGAGUUUCAUUGUAUCUUUCAUUUCUUCAAUUCAUUUGUAAGAGUUUGAGUGUGUGAGACACUUGAGUGAAGAGAUUGGGAGAUAAUCUCUUUGUUGUAAAGGUUUAUUGACACCUCGAAGUCAAUUGUAAUCGUUGAAGCCUUGGAAAGGCUUGGAUAGUGAAAUCCUCGAGCUUGGAUCGCUUGGAGGCGUGGACGUAGGCGGGGAUUACCGAACCACGUAAAAAUUCGUGUGUUUGUUUCUCUUCUCCCUUACUCUUUAAUUAUUGUACCAUUAUUGAACUUAUUACUUUCAAUUAUUGUUAAGACAUUAGAUUGCUUGUUGUGUGGAUUUGUUAGGAUAAUUUUUAAAAAUCCAAUUCACCCCCCUCUUGGGUUGCACACUUGUAUUUCAUACCUCAUGUACCCUAAUGCUUGGAUAUCCCUUGAGCUAUCUGUUACUUCAUGGCGGAAUAACCCAAUUGCAUCAAACAUAUGGCGAUUCUUCCAGAUAUGCUUGUCGCUUAUCUUAAGCUUUCUUAGGGUUCCUCCUGGUGUAUCUGAGGAAUAGCUUUCUGGCGUGGGGUACCCUUAAUCAGCGUAUGGUGAUUUUCAUAGAAAUGCUUGCCGCAAAUCUUCACAAAACUUGUUGCGGUUGCUUUUGAGAGAUUGUGCGGGGUACCUUGAAUCAUGCCGGGUAUCUCAGAUUGUGCGGGGUACCUCAAAUUGUAUGGGGUACCUCUAAUCGUGCGGGGUACCUCUAAUCAUGUCGGGUACCUCGGAUUGCAGUGAAGUUAUUCCAUUCGUUGACACGUGGCGUUCUGCUAUCUUUCCUAUUUUCCCCCAAACAAUUAGUAAAGAGAGCUAAAGAACUAGCUUUAGUUACGAGCAGAAAAUCAGAAGUCAAGGAGCAGCCAAAGCACUUUUAAUGGUGAUGGUAAAACUAGAGAGGUAAUGCAAAUAAGUUUACGUUGAUUGGAUAUUCAGAAGAAGUAAUACGCCAUUAAAAGCAACAAGUUUUCCAAAAAGCCAACAAAGACAGAGACCACCACACCACCCCGCACUGGAUGAAAAACGAUGAAAGCAUGAUAAGUGGCAUCGAGUAAGCCACGUUCUCUCUCUCUCUCUCUCUCACUCGCACUCGCACUCGCACUCGCACACACUGUUACUAAAAUGACCAAAAAUAAGAUUCCCAUCAAAAUAUUUUCGAGUAUCGUUCUUGAAAGUGGCGGCGGCUGAUGAUGAUGAACACAGCCGCGAUUGCGAUUGGCGAAGGCGGCGUUCUGCCCGUAUCACAGCUAGUUAUCGGUCGCGGCAGAAAAGAUAAUGAAACGACGGCUGAUGAUGAUGAUGAUGAUGUUGAACAGCCGCGAAUAUGGGUAAGUGAUGCGACGAUGAUUUGAUUUGAUGAAGAUGAGCUGAACAUGGAAUAAGAGAGGAAAUGUUUGUGCGGCUGGGAAAGUGUAAUGAACUGCUAGGGCACCAUUUGGGUUUUUUUGCUUUCCUAUUUAUAUUAAAAAUAAUUUUUAAAAAUUAAUAUAUAUCCGGGUUCGGGUUUUGGAUGUACGGGUUUACCUAGACCCGGACACAUGCGGAUUCAGCAGCACCGACCACCCACAGACUUGGAUUUGAUUACAAAGUUGGGACUUAGGAUUUGGGUUUGUGGCUGCCGAAACAGAAAGUGAGAGAGUAGAAAGUAGAGACUGAGAGUGGUGCAAACAUGUGUAAUUUUGUGUGUGUGUCUAUAUAUAUAUAAUGUGAAAUUACAAAAAUGCCAUUAUAUCAGUUCAAUUCGAAUUUUGUAACUUGUGAUCCGAAAACUGAACCAAACCGAACCAUUUGGUUUGGUAUUUAUAUAUUCAGGUUUUUAAUUUAAAAAAACUAAAUUGAAAUUGAAAGAACUAAACCGAACCGAAUUUUUUUUUUUUUUGUUUCGAUUCAAUUAUGCCCAUCCCUACUUAGUAGGCUGGGUAUCAAUUUCUUUGAAUUGUGCUUUCAUUGCAGUAAUCUCCUCCUUGGUAAUAGGUUUAAUUGCUUGCUGAUGCCACCUUUCCUCUAGUAACAACUAGUCUAACAAGCCAUCAUCGUCAAACAUGUACCUAUUAUAAGCAUCAUCCAGAAUUUGCUCUCUUUGCUUUUUGCUUAGUGUCUUCUUUGCACAAGCUAUUAUCUUAGCUUUUGUAUCAAUAUCUUUAUCUUUUGAUUCACCAGAGGAUGAAUCAUCACCGGAAUAGAGUGGUGAAGGCCCCAUAGAUUAGUGUGAUCAAGUUCUAGUGUAGUUUUGGUUUUGAUUUCAGUAUUAGGAAAAUGAAGCCUAUGAAAUUUACCAAGCUAACAUGCUUCACAAAAGUGCUUUAAUACUUGACUAUGAAUACUUGAAGAGGAUAAAUGAGGAUAAAUAAAUUUAAAUAUACAUUAGAUUUUGAGGGUUGGGAUGUCAAAACUUUUGGUGAAAAAGAGUUAGUACAAGCAUUUUUAUUGAGAUUGAAAACAUUUCUUAAGAUGAUCAAUACUAGUUACAAAAUUGGAAUGAAAAAAAAAAGGCAACAUAGACAAAGGUUUGUUUAUUUGAUUGUAAGAUAGAAAAGACUUGUAUUUAGGUUGUGGAAAGGAUUUGAGCAGCAAUUUAUACAACCUUUUCUCAGCAAAACCUUCCUCUUCAAUGAAUCCUUCACAAAACAAAUAGAUCCAAGAAAUUCGACAAAUAAAUUGUUGUCAAUGGUAAGUUUUGAAAUGCUCAAUAGAUUCUUUGUAAUGGAUGGAACAAACAGUACAUCCUUAAGUAAAAUAUGUCUUAUAUUAUCUUUUUUUAAUUCUUUUUAAAAAAAUAAGUGAAUAAUAGUAUGUCAAUCUCAAAUAUCAAUAUGUACAAUUUUUAUUUGUGUAAGAAUUUGCAUCCAAUAAUCAUCAAUACAUAAUUGUCUUUUAAUUGAAUGGUUCUCACCUCCCUUCCAAACUUUGAAAAGGUAAAAUAAGAUCAAUCAUGUCAGUGGCAAUUAAUAUAAAGAUUACUUUUCUUAUUUGUAGUAACGUCCUCUGAUUAUUUAGCUGAUUUUCAAGCUACACAUUUAUUCCAUUUGAUGUUGAUAUUAGUAAAAUUAAUGUAAUAUUUAAAAAGGAAAAAAAUCCGUCGAGCUAAAAGCCGAGUAUAAAAUUGAACCAGACCCAAACCAGAAACGCACGCCAACAACAUGUUUGCGUCAGUCGGCCCAUGCCCAUAAACCCACCAAGCCCGAUCCAAAUAGAAAAAUGAAUUGGACACCCGAGAUAGCAGAAACAGAUAAGUAACGGUCGUGCUAUCCCCAAUCUCAUAUCUUCAACGGUAUCCAGCCAACAUCUCAAAGUGUUCAAUUUUUUUUUAAGCCAAAAAAAAAUUCAAAAUUUUCAAGCGGAAUCUGGGAAGAUAGCGAUGAAAAGCAAGAUUCUGGUUAUCGGCGGAACCGGAUACAUCGGUAAGUACUUAAGGUGCGUUUGAAAUUGAGGUUGAGCAACUAUAACUUUAAAACUGCAGCACUAAAAUAUUUGGUAAACACUAAUUGUUGUAACUUAAAAGCUAUUUAAUAUAAUUUUUCACUUGUAUAAUAAAAAAUUUAUUAUCUUUAAUAAUUUUGUCAAAAUUAUUAUUUAAAAUAUAUACAGUAAGAGAGAUUGUAACAUUUUCAAUCUUUGGUUUGAUAUUCUGGAAGAAAACGAUUUGCCGUUUAUGGAGAAAACUGCUAACCGUUUAAUUUCAGAGAGCAUGUUUUCUAUUCUAGAGAAAACGGCUAACCGUUUGGAGAAAACGGCUAACCGUUUGGAGAAAAUGGCUAACCGUUUGGAGAAAACGGCUAACCGUUUAAUUCCAGAGAGCAUGUUUUCUGUUCUAGAGAAAAUGACUAACCGUUUGGAUAAAACGGCCAACCAUUAAUUACAGAGAGCAACUUAUUUGACAUUCUGGAAUAAAACGGCUCACCGUUAUUGAGAAAACGGCUAACCGUUUAUUUCCAGAGAGCGUGUUUUUGCGUCAACUGGAAAAACGGUUAGCAAGCUUAGAAAUUUCAAUUGUCAAUCGAUGCAAACUCAAACCAAAAGAGUGUUUUUUUGAAGAAGUACUAUUUUUAAUGGUUGUAUUCUUUCAAAUAAACAUCUUCUUUAUUAAAGAUAGACAAACUAUUAUAUCAUAAUUAGAUUUUGCAGGUUUCAUAUAUGUUCUGGAAAUACAAUCUUAUUUUUUAGAGAUUGUAUUCAGGAUUUGAUAUAUCUUAGGGGUAAUUUGCCAUUAAAACUCUAUAGCAAACCAAGAUUGGUGAGGGUAAAUAAAACCUUAAAGAAAAAUGUGCAAACACGUCUCAAAUCCUAAGAAAUUUUCUUUGUUCUUUGCCUCCAUAUUCUUAAAAUUUGAAAAUUCACCCAUCAAUCUUUAAGGUUUUAUUUUGAUGCAAAUAGAGGCUGAGAAGAGUUUGACGUCAUUUCUUAAUCCUAGUGUCCAUCUCGAUCGUUUUGAUGGAACAAAUUUCACUCGUUGGAAGGAAAAAUUGUUCUUUCUUCUUACUGUUCUUAAAGUGGCAUAUGUUCUUAAUCCGAAAUUGGAACCAUUUCCAGAACCAAGGGAAGAUGAUACCGAAGUUGUUAAGGCUGUAAGGAAACGUCGUGAAGAUGAUGAAUUGAUGUGCCGGGGUCACAUACUCAAUACGCGUUCUGACAGGUUAUAUGAUCUCUACAAUUUUAUGACUUCUUCGAUGGAAAUUUGGAAUGCUCUUGAGUACAAAUACAAAACGGAGAAAGAAGGUACUGACAAAUUCCUUGUCUCUAAAUAUUUUGAAUUUAUUAUGGUAGACACACAAUCCAUUCUUGAUCAAAUACAUGAGUUAUAAAUUAUUGUUGCUAAGCUUCGAGAGUUAAAAGUUAAAAUUUCUGAAUCAUUUCAAGUUGGGACUAUUAUUGCUAAAUUGCCUCAAAGUUGGAAUGAUUAUAGAAAGAAACUCCUUCAUAGUAAAGAGAACAUAACUUUAGAAGAAUUGCAAAAACACUUGGUAAUUGAAGAAGAGACUAGGUCUCGCGAAUCCAAGGAUAAACAUGAUUCUACUAAAGUUAAUGUUCUUGAAGCUAGUAAAUUCUCAAAGAAUUUUAAAGUCAAGAAUGACAAGAAAUUUAAGAGGUCCAGCACACAAAAGUUUUCUGGAAAUUGUUUCUUUUGUGGUAAGAAAGGUCAUCGCCAAAGUGAUUGCAGAUUCAAGAAAAAAAAAGAAGAAGUGAAUUCCUAUAAAGCUAAUGUUAUUGAAAACAAAUCUGAAAAGAUUUGUGCUAUGGUUUCUGAAAUACAAAUUGGCAUGAUUAUCGAAACCAAUAUGGCUGAAACUAAGUCCUAUGAUUGGUGGCUCGAUUCGGGUACAACAAUUCAUGUUUGUAAUGAUAAGAAAUUUUUAUUAUCAUACAAAGAAGAAACGGAAGGACAAAUGGUUCUCAUGGGGAACAAUAAUGCAGCCAUAGUAGCAGGGAAAUGAGUAGUUGAGAUCAACUUCACUUCUAGAAAGAAAGUCACAUUGUAUAAUGUCUUUCAUGUACCUUCCGUUAGGAAGAAUCUUAUUUCUGCUAGUUGUAUGUGUAAGCAUGGGCUUAAGAUUGUGCUUGAGGGUAAUACUUGUAUUAUCUCAAAGAAUGAAUUAUUUGUUGGGAAAGGGUAUUCUUGUGAUGGAAUGUACAAACUCAACAUUAAUAAUAAUAAUAUCAACUUAGCUUAUAUUGUUGAGUCUUGUGAUGUUUGGCAUGCUAAAUUAGCACAUUUGAAUUUUAGAUCUUUGAAAUACAUGUCUGAGCAUGGUUUGAUUAAUUGCAAUGAUGUUAAAGGUCAUAAGUGUGAAAUCUGCAUCCAAGCUAAAUUAACUAAGAAACAUUUUCUUAAAGCCGAACGAAAUACUCAAAUAUUGGAUUUAAUAUAUACCGAUAUUUGUGAGUAUAAUGGCGUUUUAACAAGAGGAGGUAAGAAGUACUUUAUCCCUUUUAUUGAUGAUUGUUCUAGAUACACUUAUAUGUAUUUACUUAGAACAAAAAAUGAAGCUUUUGAUAAAUUUAAAAUUUUCAAAGCUGAAGUUGAGAACCAAAAAGAUAAGAAAAUCAAAAUGGUUCGUAGUGAUAGAGGUGGUGAAUAUUUCUCAAUUGAAUUUAAUAAUUAUUGUGAAGAAUUUGGAAUUAUUCACCAAAGAUCAGCUCCAUUUACUCCUCAACAAAGUGGUUUGGCUGAAAGAAAGAAUAGGAUCUUCACGGAUAUGAUAAAUUCCAUGAUCCAUAAUGCAAAACUACCAAAUAAUUUGUGGGGGGAAGCAUUACUCACUGCAUGUCAUAUUCAUAACAGAAUUACAUCUUUGAAAACACAUAUAUCUCUUUAUGAAAUUUGGAAAGGAAGAAAACCAAACUUGAUGUAUUUAAGGGUCUAGGGUUGUUUAGCUUUUUAUAAAAUACAUGAUCCUAAAUCAUCAAAGUUAAGUGCUAGAUGUAUAAAGAGUGUUUUCGUAGGAUAUGCUGAAAAUUCUAAGGCUUAUAGGUUGUUAGAUUUAGAUUAUAAUGUGAUUGUGGAAUCUAGAGAUGUUGAAUUUAUUGAGAAUAAAUUUCAACAUGAUUCUAAUAUUGAAUUAGAAUCAAUUAUUGAUCAACCAUGUGUUAAUACUCCUGUUACCUCCACUAACAAUAAUAAAAGGAAAGAGUCUAUGACAUCUUUCGAACCAAUGAGGAGUCAACGUGAAAAGAAAGAAAAGAGUUUAGCUCCGGAUUUUAUUUCAUCACAAGCACUACUCUUCUUGGUUGAAGGGGAUAGAAAGAAUGUACUUAACAAAGUACCAUUAUUGUUAAAUAUUGAAAAAGAUCCAAAGACAUUUAGCGAAGCUAUGUCUUCUAGAGACGCUUCUUUUUAGAGAGAGGCGGUAAAUGAUGAAAUUGAUUCGAUUAUUUCGAAUCAAACAUGGGUCUUGGUUGAUCUUCCUCCAGGAUCUAAACCAAUUAGCAGCAAAUGGGUAUUUAGAAGAAAGUACAAUAGUGAUGGUUCUUUGCACACUUUUAAGGCUAGAUUAGUAGCCAAAGGGUUUAAGCAAAGAAAUGGUAUUGAUUAUUUCGAUACAUAUGCUUCGGUAGCAAGGUUAACUUCUAUAAGAGUGCUAUUUGCAAUUGCUUCAUUGAACAAUUUGUAUGUGCAUCUAAUGGAUGUUAAAACCGCUUUUCUUAAUGGUGAUCUUGAUGAAGAAAUCUAUAUGGAACAACCUGAGGGAUUUGUUUUACCAGGAAAUGAGAAAAAAGGUAUGCAAAUUAGUCAAAUCACUUUAUGGUUUAAAGCAAGCACCAAAACAAUGGCAUGAGAAGUUUGAUUCGGUAAUUUUAUCUCAUGGUUUUAAGCAUAAUAAUGCUGAUAAAUGUAUAUAUUUUAAAUUUACGAAUGAUUUUGGUGUGAUUAUAUGCUUGUAUGUUGAUGACUUGCUUAUCUUUGGGACAAAUAUGCAAGGAGUAGAUGAUACAAAGAAGUAUUUAACUUCACAAUUUAAGAUAAAAGAUCUUGGUGAAGUAGAUACUAUCUUAGGUGUCAAAGUGAAGAAACAUAGUGAGGGUUACUCGUUGUGUCAAUCUCAUUAUAUAGAGAAAGUGCUUCUUAAAUUCAAUUAUUUGAAAUUUAAAGAAGCUAAUACCCCAUAUGAUUCUAGUAUUAAAUUAUUAGAGAAUUCAGGCCGAGUAGUAGCACAACUAGAAUAUGCUAGUGCUAUUGGUAGCUUGAUGUAUGCUAUGCAUUGUACGAGGCCUGAUAUAGCAUUUGCAGUUUGCAAAAUGUCAAGAUUCACGAGUAACCCUAGUGUUGAACACUGGAAAGCAAUUGGUAGAAUACUUGGUUAUCUUAAAAGGACCAUUCAUUUGGGUUUAUUUUAUAAUGAUUAUCCUGAAGUACUGGAAGGAUAUUCAGAUGCUAGUUGGGUAACCAAUACAAGAGAUAAUAAAUCCACUUCUGGUUGGAUUUUUACAAUUGUUGGAGGAGCAGUUUCCUGGGCUUCAAAGAAACAAACGUACAUAACUCAUUCAACAAUGGAAAGUGAGUUUAUAGCACUCGCAGUUGCAAGCAAGGAAGUAGAAUGACUGAGAAAUUUGUUGUUUGAUAUAAUGUUAUGGCCACAACCGAUGCCAUAUAUUUCUUUGUACUGCGAUAGUGAAGCUACAUUGUCUAGAGCUUAUAAUAAAGUGUAUAAUGGAAAGUCUAGACAUAUUAGCUUGAGACAUGAAUAUGUGAAACAAUUAAUAGCAGAUGGUGUUAUUAAUAUUGUUUAUGUUAGGACUAAUAAGAACCUAGCGGAUCCUUUAAUAAAAGGUCUUACAAGAGACUUAGUUAAGGAUACAUCUUUUGGAAUGGGAUUGAAACCUUUAAAUAAUAAAGUCACCAACGACGAUAACCCAACUAUGUAGUAGUUGUACCGCUACUCCAUAGUUAAAUGGAUAAUAACAAGUUGUUGUUAUGUGACUGGUUUGGCACCGAGUAAUAAAUAAUCACAUUCGAGAUAUUCGGUGCAAAUAGCUACGAGGUUGAGGUUGAGUAUUUAUUCUUAAUGAAGUUCAAGUCUUAUAGUAGCUAAAGACAUGAUUUGAAACUUCACCUAAGUGAACAUAAGAAAUGGUGCCGUUUCUAACAAGAUCAUGGUUUAAUCUAGUAAAUGUUCAUGAAUUCAAGAUAGAGCACAAGGCCGGAAUAGUGCUAAAUAUUGGAACACAACUUUGAAAAUCUGGGAUAGCUUAUAUGUGAUGUAUCUCCGGUAUUUACUUAAGAGACAAAGUUUAAUGCUUAGCACAUUAUUGUCUUGUAAAUGCUUUGAAAUACACUCACUAAUUAAAGGUUAAAAUCGAAAGAUAUCUUUUUGUAUGUAUAAGUUUAUCAUUAAUAAAUAUGAAAAAUAUUACAAUCUAGUGGGGGAUUGUAAGAGAGAUUGUAACAUUUUCAAUCUUUCGUUUGAUAUUCUGGAAGAAAACGGUUUGCCGUUUAUGGAGAAAACGGCUAACUGUUUAAUUCCAAAUAGCAUGUUUUCUGUUCUAGAGAAAACGACUAACUAUUUGGAGAAAAUGGCUAACUGUUUAAUUCUAGAGAGCAUGUUUUCUGUUCUAGAGAAAGCGGCUAACCGUUUGGAUAAAACGACCAACCGUUAAUUACAGAGAGCAACUUAUUUGACAUUCUGGAAUAAAACGGCUCACCGUUAUUGAGAAAACGGCUAACCGUUUAUUUCCAGAAAGCGUGUUUUUGCGUCAAUUGGAAAAACGGUUAGCAAGCUUGGAAAUUUCAAUUGUCAAUCGAUGCAAACUCAAACCAAAAGAGUGUUUUUUUGAAGAAGUACAAUUUCUAAUGGUUGUAUUCUUUCAAAUAAACAUCUUCUUUAUUAAAGAUAGACAAACAAUUAGAUCAUAAUCAGAUUUUGCAGGUUUCAUAUAUGUUCUGGAAAUACAAUAGAUCAUAAUCAGAUUUUGCAGGUUUCAUAUAUGUUCUGGAAAUACAAUCUUAUUUGCUAGAGAUUGUAUUCAUGAUUUGAUAUAUCUUGGGGGUAAUUUACCAUUAAAACUCUAUAGCAAACCAAGAUUGGUGAGGACAAAUAAAACCUUAAAGGAAAGUGUGCAAACACGUCUCAAAUCCUAAGAAUUGUUUUUUGUUCUUUGCCUCCAUAUUCUUAAAAUUCGAAAAUUCACCCAUCAUAUACAUACUACAUAUUAUUAACUUUUGUUUUAUAACUAUAGUGUUUUUUUUUUACCGCAACUGUAGUUUAAAAACUACAGCACCUCAAUCCCAAACAAGACCUUAGUGGAAGCGAGCGCAAAAGCCGAUCACCCAACAUUCGCGCUUGUGAGAGACUCCACUCUCUCCACUCAUUCCAAAUCCAAAAUCCUCGACCGUUUCAAAAAUCUCGGCGUCAAUUUAGUUCUUGUGCGCCACUCUUUUAGCUUUCCAAUUUUCCCGCCAAUUUUCUUUUAUUGUGAUUAAUUAAUUAAUUAAUUAAUUAAAGUAAAGAUUUUAUAUUAUAAUUUUGUUUGCAGGGAGAUCUAUACAGCCAUGAGAGCUUGGUGAGUGCAAUAAAGCAAGUGGAUGUUAAGGUAAUGAUUAACUUAAGUAAAUGCGUUAACUAAUUACUUGGGAUUUUAAAUUCAAAUGCGUGAAUUGUUCUAAAAAAUGAUUUAUGUUUAUUAGUCAGAGAUUCUUUCCUUCAGAAUUUGGAAAUGAUGUUGAUCGCGUGCAUGCCGUUGAGCCAGCAAGAACAUCAUUUGCCACCAAGGCUAAAAUCCGCCGAGCUGUUGAGGCUGAAGGAAUUCCAUACACCUACGUAGCUUCCAAUUUCUUCGCUGGUUUGUAUCUUUCCAGUUUCUCACAGCCUGAAGCCACAGCUCCUCCAAGGGAUAAAGUGGUCAUCGUAGGUGAUCGAAAUGCAAAAGGCAAAGCGCUUCUGGAUACAUUUACUCUGUACACGCAAUGUGUGGUUACUGUUUGGGGAUAAAAAAGGAGAUUAAUUAAUAAAGAAAAUGAAAUUAUUGAGGGAUUUGCUGAAGAGUUGCGUGCACUCCUCAUUUUUCUCCACCACUCAUCUUACUUGCAAAAUGCAAUGACCAAACUAUCCUCGCCAAAGCCUAGACAUUUACUUGUGUUCAAAGGCCAUUUAAGAGAGACAAGUACAAAAAAUUAUAAAGGAUAGUGAGCAAAAGAAGAAAAUGGAAGGAGGGGAGAAUAAAAAAUGGGAGUGGGGCGUUAUCUAGGGAGGAUUUUUAUUUUUAUUUUUUUUCCUCUCUUCUCCAUGGCAUCUCUUUCUCUCUUUCUCCCACUAAGAAAUUCUUUCUUUUACACUCUAUUUUACUUUUAUUCAAAUUACACAAAAAACUUUUGGUUUUAAGGCAAUGUUUAUUAAGCCACGUGAAUUUGAAAAAGCAGGAAUAAGGGGAUGAUUUUAACACAUUAAUUCACCAACAUUAAUUGGAAAAGAUCAGUUGCCACUUCGAAUCAGAGUAAUUUCUUCGGCAAUAGCCAAAUAUUGAUAUUUGAUCUUGACACUGUAGUUAAAUCAAUGUAACUGGUUUUGUCAUUUGAUCCCCAGUAAUUUUUAACAAGGAAGACGAUAUUGGAAUUAAUUCUAUCAAAGCGGUGGAUGAUCCGAGAACACUGAACAAAAUACUUUACAUCAGACCCCGUUGCAAUAUCUACUCAUUUAAUGAUCUUGUGUCUCUGUGGGAGGAAAAGAUUGGCAAAGCCCUUGACAGGGUCUAUGUUACAGAGGAACAACUUCUGAAAAACAUUCAAGGUUAGUUAGAACUAUCACUUUAUCAAGUGCAUAGAUGUAACUGACCGAUAAUGGAAUUUUUUUUCCUUCUCCAAAAUGCGAUAGAAUCUAAUCGGUUUCAACAAUCUCAAGAACACCUAUUCAUGGUUGUGUUGUUUGAAAUCUGUAUGUAUCAGUUUUCUUUCUAGAUCUCAGAUUGCUCGCAAGGAUGUCAAGUUUUGAUGAUGCUUGCCUGUUUUCCUGUGUUUACAGAAGCUUCAUAUCCACUCAAUAUGAUAUUACCUAUUGGGCACUCUGCCUAUGUCCUGGGAGAUCAGACCAACUUCGAAAUUGAACCUUCAUUUGGAGUAGAGGCAACAGAGCUUUAUCCAGAUGUCAACUACACUACUGUGGAUGAGUACCUCAACCAGUUCAUAUAAACCUUCUGAGAUGAGCAGCAGGAUCCUAACAAAAAAUUGGGUGGUUUCCAUCCCUGAUUCUAUGGUAUAAAGAUAGCGGCUUUCCCUGCUUUUGCCAGUUCAAUGAAGUUUGUUAGAUGAUGUUAUUUAUACUAUACUAGCAAAGAUCAAGUUGCCUUUCUUGUCAAGAAGCCAAGCUCUGGCAUUGGUUUAUGCUAGUUUUUCAUGUUUAUUACUUUUUUUGCAUUCAAAAUGAUAAAACUGCAGAGGUUGUUGCAUGCACGUCAUUUGUUAGUAGGGGUAUCAAUUUAUGAACGUAUGAAGUAUCUCUUCUGCAACGGCAUCCUCCUUAACUGUCAGUAGGAUCACAAUAAGUCGACCAACCAUCUACCGUAUGGAUUAUCUAUAAAUUGAAAUUGGUGUGUAUUAUGGAUCUGUCACUCUGCUGUUUCUGUUUUCUUUUCUAUUUUUACCAAGAAAGAAACAUUGUUAAAACUGAAUGGUUGUUAUCUCGUCUUGUUGUAAUGUUGUGUAUGCUUUCUAGAAAAUAAUGAAGUGCCAAAUAUGAAAAUACUAGUGGCUACCUUACCAUCCUUAAUAAGUUGUCUGAUUGUCACCGUCAACAAUCACUCUCAGCAACUCAUAAUCCAUUUAAGCAUAUUAUAAAAUAAUCAAUUUUGUAUUUGCACCAACUUUUAGUUUUAAAUGACAAUUUCGUUGAUCCCCACACUUCUGUACUAAUCAAAUCCACUGAAACUGGACUUUUUUUUCUUUUUUUUUAUAAUUACAUCGAUUGCAUUGGCUAUUGCAGGGAAAAGACUGCCUCUACAGGGAACUAAACUUUCAGAAUUGUUCUUAUGAGGGUUUGAAUAUGCUCUCGUACUAGGUCAAUGGCCUAUUGGUUCGAGACCAUUCACAAAGAAAGAAAUGAGUUUUGCUUGUAUAAAUGAAAGAAAUCCAAAUGAUAACUAAUGUAUAGUGGUACAUGAGAAAAAUAAUUUCAGCCCGUGUAAAGUCAAAAAGAGAAAAUAUUAAAAGAAAGGAUAAUGUCAUUGAGUUCGGUGAAGUGAAAGAAAAUGAAAAACAUGGGAUUUAGUCAAACUUAGUGUCCCAAUCAGCAGAAAAAGGUUUUAGAAACUCACCUCAAGUUAAGCCAACUAUUAGGAGCUUUAUUUAAUCAUGACUUUCUAAUGUAUAGUACUCCAAUACUAAACGAGGGCUACCUCUACGCUUGCAAUUGUAAAUGAAAUUGAGUUCGUGACGCACAAUGAAGUGAGCAAAAUGAGUUGAGAUCUGAGAAUAUAUUAAAGAAAAUAUGAAUCAAUGAAUUUUGGUUAAAAAAAACAAAUGCUGGUUCUUCAAGACCUGCGUGUAUUGUGUAAGUUUUGUUAGGAGAAGGAAAGCAUUUUGGUCUAAAACGCACUAAAUCGGAUUCAUUUGCUUGAUAUCUAAUAAGGGUGAAUUAACCACUCGCCCACAGCAAUUCAAGUCCCAAAAAAAUUAUUGUGGGGGCUAAAUUUCUUCUUUAAUUAUAACAAAUAAUUGAGUGGAGGAUAAAAAUUUAGGCCAUGUAUAACAAUAACUAAUAUAAACUAGUCCUAAUAAUAGUAUAAUUGUAAAUAUCAGUUGUAGUCUCAUACAAUAUAAGUUUAUAGAUUAUAAUAUCGGCAUAAAAAGAAAAAUGAUAUCUGACGGUCAAUCAAUAAAAGGACAAAAACUUGGAGUAACAUACCACAAAGUCAAUGUAGCUGGACAGAUGAAUAUAAUAUGUAAACAAAUUUAAAUGGGAUAAUACCAUACGGUACAUACAUAACAUUUUAAAACUGAAUUAAAAAAAUAAAAUUAAAACUGAAUUGGAAUUCGUAUGUGUAUCCAGCUACCUUGCAACAGUUGUAAGGUACCCUAACUUUGCAACAAUUUCAUCCUUCGUGCAUUCGGUCACAAAGUCCAAAUUAGGCACGUUUAAGAAUCGAACUGAAAAACUAAAAAAAAAGAAUCCGGCGAUAUUUGCGAACCGGAAACGAGCCAGCGUUAUGCUUAUGUCAUUUCAGAGAUAUCAACAGUCGUGCUUUCAGUCCUUAAACCUCAAGGGCAUUUUCGUCCUUUCACUCAAGCGUGAAACUGCAUGUAAGAACUGCUUCGCUUACACGCUCCAUGCACAUUUAAAGGCACCACUGUCGGAUAAAAAAUAUCCAUCCAUUUGAUCAUUUCAAAACAAAACGAAAAAAAAAAUCUCAGUAAUUGAACUGAACGAGUCUCAGAAAUGGCAUCGAAAAGUAAGAUUCUAUUCAUCGGCGGGACAGGGUAUAUCGGUAAAUUCACUGUCGAAGCGAGCGUAAAAGCCGGCCACCCGACGUUCGUGCUCGUGAGAGAAUCCACAAUCUCUGGUCCUUCCAAAUCUCAACUCCUCGAUCACUUCAAAAACCUCGGCGUCAAUCUUGUCAUAGUGCGUUUUCAUUUUUCUCUUUUCUUUAUUUUUUAUUCCGAUCAUUUUUACACGUCGAAGUGUAGCAUCUACUACUUAAUAUACAUAAUGAUAUUAUUAUUUUUUAAUUUUUUUGGGUUGCUGUUAUUAUUAUACAGGGAGAUGUGUUGAAUCACGAGAGUUUGGUGAAGGCGAUAAAACAAGUGGACGCGGUGAUAUCAACAGUUGGUCACACUUUAAUAGCCGAUCAGGUCAAGAUUAUUGCUGCCAUUAAAGAAGCCGGUAACGUUAAGGUAUGACAUAAUUAAUGUAAAUGUCUUAGAUUUCGAUCAGGAUUGUGCACUCGUGCACACGUGGUGAUUUAUUCUUCGUGUGGAGCUCGCUGUAGAGUAGAGCUCCCAGUUCCGCUAAUAAACACCCGUCAGAUGCGCAAUUGCGCCUCAAAAUAAUUUAAUUAAUUAAUUAGGUAUAAACACCGAUGGCAUGAAAGCAAUUAAAAUUAGUUGAUGUUUAUAAAUUAUUUAUUACUCAGAGAUUCUUACCAUCGGAAUUUGGAAAUGAUGUUGAUCGAGUCGAAGGCGCCGUAGAGCCAACAAAAUCGACGUAUGACGUAAAGGCGAAAAUCCGCCGAGCCGUUGAGGCAGAAGGCAUUCCGUACACUUACGUAGAAUCUUAUUGUUUUGAUGGGUAUUUCCUCCCCAAUUUGUUGCAGCCUGAGGCCACUGCCCCCCCUAGGGAUAAGGUUGUCAUCUUAGGCGAUGGAAAUCCAAAAGGUAAUAUAAUUUAAUUAAGCUCUGUUUGUUUGGUAUGUAUUGCGGUGUUAAUGUUAUUGUCUGUUGUACAAUGGAUGGUCUUGCUUGGUACUGUUGUUGGAGAGCUGCAGUGUUUUGAUAAACACCUCUAUAGUCUAUCCUUAUCCUUAGCUUUCAAGUUAAGUUGAUUUUAUACAACACUUGUUUAAUUAAAAACUUGUAAUAUUCUUACUACUUUGAUAAAAAAAAUAUUACGAUUAAAGUAUUAAUGGCACCAUAAUACGAAAUGAAUCUUAAGUGGUCAUUAUAGAUUUUAAGAUAGAGUUUUAAGUGAUUACCAGAUACUUUAGCUGCUGAACCGCCACAUCAUGGUUGCCACACAACAAUUUCAAACAGAACCUAAAUAACUUCAUUGCAAAACAGUUAAAUGAAUCUAACUUAGUUUCGUCGUUUGAUUUUCAGCUGUUUUUAACAAGGAAGAUGAUAUUGGAACCUACACUAUCAAAGCGGUUGAUGAUCCGAGAACCUUGAACAAAAACUUUUACAUUCAGCCUCCCGGUAAUAUUUACUCAUUCAAUGAUCUUGUGUCUCUGUGGGAGAGAAAGAUUGGUAAAACCCUCGAAAAGGAGUAUGUUUCAGAGGAGCAGCUCCUAAAGAAUAUUCAAGGUUGGUUAAAACUCUCUUUUUUAAAUGUAUUAAAGAGAGCCGUAUAUUCUCUGCCGUAAAUGUUAUUGAUCCUGUCUUCUCCAAAAUGUUGCAGAAGCUGCACCUCCACACAAUGUGAUAUUAUCAAUUUAUCACUCUGCUUUCGUGAAGGGAGUUCAAACCAACUUCAAGAUUGAACCAUCUUUUGGAGUUGAAGCCUCGCAGCUUUAUCCUGAUGUCAAGUACACUACAGUUGAUGAGUACCUCAAUCAGUUUGUGUAACCCUUCUCUGUUUCCAGCUGCAGCUUGCAGGAUCUUGGACUCUUGGUAAAUAAAUAAUUGGCUUGUUGCCAUCUUUGGUUUUAUAUGUAAAAAUUAUGGUUGUUGGCCUUACUUUCUUCUGGUUGUCCAUGGAAUUUGUUAGACCAUAUUAUGUUUGCUAUGUCAGUGAUCAAAUGAAGUAGGCCAUGUACUUGAUUUGAGAGUAGUAGUUAUAAAAAGCCAUCAUGAUCAGGUGGGUGCGUGGGUUGGGCUUCUAUUAGGGUGCGUGUGUUGGGCUUCAGGGGCUUGUGAUAUGGGUUCGACAGCCCCUAACGGGCAGUCAUUAUAAAAAUAAUUAUAGAGUUACAAAUCUAUGUAAAAAGCAAAAAUUAAAAGUAAUUUAUCAAUAAAAAUAAUUAAAAUUAAUAAAAAGUAGGUAUGAUAUUUCAGAAAUUAAAUUAAAGAUAGCAUUCUAAAGAGUUGGAUAAUCCUCCAACUAAACUAAAGAUCUAGUACAUUUGAGAGCAAAUUUAAUUAAAGAAAAGGAUAAGGAAAAACAAUAGAAUAAUAAUAUUAAAAAUUGCAAAUCUUGGUCUUUUUUUUUUACGAUGAUGUUGAUUUCUUAUAAAUUUAAUCUUAUCUAUAGAAUUAUUUAGUUACUGUAUGUCAAAAUUUCCUAUAAAGAUGAAGAAAAAUUAUAUUAGGAGAAGAUCCAAAUCCGUUUAACUGAUGCAUCAUCAACAACAUGAGUACAACAUUUUCGAAUAAACAAAAGAAACUCGUUUUAUGUGCGAACCAGUUCCAAAAUAAAGAGCAGACUAUUGGAAGGAGACAAAUACUACAAGAAGAACAAAACAUUCUACAGUUCCUACAUGAGCCCGCAACAAUUAAUUAUUAACUCGACAUUCAUUACACUUUUUCUUUAAUUUGACAAAGAAACCAAAAAUAAGAUAAAAUUGACUAAGAAAUAAAAAAAUGACCAAAAUCUUUUUGAAGUUUUGCCAGUUCAGCCAUGCACGCUUAUCUUUAUUCACUUGUUUCCUUUCUUUCCUGGAGCCUUCACAAAUCCUUUACCUUUCUGAGCCUUGCCAAUUUUCCCCUUCUUCAAACCACCUGGCCUUGCUGGAUCCACGUGUCCUUGCAUCCUUUUUCAUUCGUGGAUCAACAAGAAUCUCCCCCUUUCCAACUCUCUCUUGAACUCCUUUCUUUGCGACCAUGUAUUCUUUUGUAGGCCUUUUGGGUAUAGUUGUCUUGUAUAAUUGUUCAAUUUGAUUCCUCUUCGAACGAUCAGAGAUGUCCGCUUAGUCUAAUAUGACAUUUGCCUUCUUGCGAACCUUCUCAAGAUUUCGCAUGGCAACCCGUAUCUUUCGAGCUUUGGUCUUAGCCACCUUCUUGGCAAUAAGGGUGGGCGAUUCGGUUUUGGGAUAAACUUUUGGUUUCGUAUCGGUUUAGAUUCAAAAAUAGUAUAAAAAAAUAUUUAGAUUUUAUGGGAAAAAAUCUGAACCGAAACUGACCUAUCGAUUUCGUCUCGGUUUCAGUUUAGUUUCGAUUCUCCUAAUAGUUUUGUUUUGCCUUAUUGACUUCCGGUCAAGGACACUUUUGAAAAAUUUACAAACAAAAAAAAAUUGGCCAUAACAAAAUUUCUAUAUGUAAAUAUUUCCUAAACAUUGGGCUAUACUAAAUUUUUUUAAAAGGUAGGGAUCCAAACGAUAUUAUCCCUCUACUUCAUCUUCAACCUUCGUCACUUAGCAGCUACCACAGUAUCGAAAUGGAAAAACUAAAAAAGCACCGUAGGAUACGCAUAUCCACACAUAUCUAAUAAAACUAAAUAUUAUUAAUAAUUUAGUAUAGUAAUAAUAAAACAAGACAAACAUGAAAUUAGAAAAGACUAAAGAGCUUUUUAAGAAAAAAGCCAUUUAAAAAACGAAAAAUAGCAAGUUAUUUGGCUAGUUAACUGGCGACAGAAGUAAUGGAAAGAAGCAACAACGGCAGCGGCAGGUCAACAACGAAGAUUCAGCAGCACCGACCACCCACAGACUUGGAUUCGAUUGCAAAGUUGGGACUUAGGAUUUGGGUUUGUGGCUGCUGAAAUUGAAAGCGAGAGAGUAGAAAGUAGAGACUGAGAGUGGUGCAAACAUGUGUAAUUCUGUGUGUGUGUGUGUCUAUAUAUAUAUAUAUAUAUAUAUAUAUAUAUAUAUAUAUAUAUAUAAUGUGAAAUUAUAAAAAUGCCAUUAUAUCGGUUCGAUUCGAAUUUUGUAACUUGUGAUCCGAAAACUGAACCAAAUCGAAUCAUUUGGUUUGGUAUUUAUAUAUUCGGGUUUUUAAUUUAAAAAAAACUAAAUUAAAACUGAAAAAACCAGAACCGAAUUUUUUUUUUUUUUUUUGUUUCGGUUCAAUUCUGCCCAUCCCAACUUAGUAGGCUGGGCAUCAAUUUCUUUGAAUUGUGCUUUCAUUGCAGUAAUCUCCUCCUUGGUAAUAGGUUUAAUUGCUUACUGAUGCCUCAUUUCCUCUAGUAACAACUAGUCUAACAAGUCAUCAUCGUCAAACAUGUACCUAUUAUAAGCAUCAUCCAGAAUUUGCUCUCUUUGCAUUUUGCUUAGUGUCUUCUUUGCACAAGCUAAUAUCUCAGCUUUUUGUAUCAAUAUCUUUAUCUUUUGAUUCACCAGCGGAUGAAUCAUCACCGGAAUAGAGUGGUGAAGGCCCCAUAGAUCAGUGUGAUCAAGUUCUAGUGUAGUUUUGGUUUUGAUUUCAGUAUUAGGAAAAUGAAGCCUAUGAAAUUUACCAAGCUAACAUGCUUCACAAAAGUGCUUUAAUACUUGACUAUGAAUACUUGAAGACGAUAAAUGAGGAUAAAUAAAUUUAAGGCAAAUGUUAUGUUACAAUUAAUGUAACAUACACACUCAAUAACAACCACACAAAUUUUGUGGGCCCAUUAUUUGUGUGGUUGUUGUUGAGUGUGUAUGUUACAUUAAUUGUAACAUAGGGGCUCCCUAAAUUUAAAUAUGCAUUAGAUUUUGAGGGUUGGGAUGUCAAAACUUUUGGUGAAAAAGAGUUAGUACAAGCAUUUUUAUUGAGAUUUAAAACAUUUCUUAAGAUGAUCAAUGCUAGUUACAGAAUAGGAAUGAAAAAAAAAGGCAACAUAGACAAAGGUUUGUUUAUUUGAUUGUAAGAUAGAAAAGACUUGUAUUUAGGUUGUGGAAAGGAUUUGAGCAGCAAUUUAUACAACCUUUUCUCAGCAAAACCUUCCUCUUCAAUGAAUCCUUCACAAAACAAAUAGAUCCAAGAAAUUUGACAAAUAAAUUGUUGUCAAUGGUAAGUUUUGAAAUGCUUAAUAGAUUCUUUGUAAUGGAUGGAACAAACAAUACAUCCUUAAGUAAAAUAUGUCUUAUAUUAUCUUUUUUUUUAAUUAUUUUUAAAAAAUAAGUGAAUAAUAGUAUGUCAAUCUCAAAUAUCAAUAUGUACAAUUUUUAUUUGUGUAAGAAUUUGCAUCCAAUAAUCAUCAAUACAUAAUUGUCUUUUAAUUUAAUUGUUCUCACCUCCCUUCCAAACUUUGAAAAGGUAAAAUAAGAUCAAUCAUGUCGGUGGCAAUUAAUAUAAGGAUUACUUUUCUUAUUUGUAGUAACGUCCUCUGAUUAUUUAGCUGAUUUUCAAGCUACACAUUUAUUCCAUUUGAUGUUGAUAUUAGUAAAAUUAAUGUAAUAUUUAAAAAGGAAAAAAAUCCGUCGAGCUAAAAGCUGAGUAUAAAAUUGAACCCGACCCAAACCAGAAACGCACGCCAACAGCAUGCUUGCGUCAGUCGGCCCAAGCCCAUAAACCCACCAAGCCCAAUCCAAAUAGAAAAAUGAAUUGGAUGCCCGAGAUAGCACAAACAGAUAAGUAACGCUAGCGCUAUCCCCAGUCUCAUAUCUUCAACGGUAUCCAGCCAACAUCUCAAAGUGUUCAAUUUUUUUUUGAAGCUAAAAAAAAAAUUCAAAAUUUUCAAGUGGAAUCUGGGAAGAUGGCAACAAAAAGCAAGAUUCUGGUUAUCGGCGGAACCGGAUACAUAGGUAAGUACUUAAGGUGCGUUUGAAAUUGAAGUUGGACAGGUAUAACUUUAAAACUGCAGCACUAAAAUGUUUGGUAAACACUAACUAUUGUAACUUAAAAACUAUUUAAUAUAAUUUUUCACUUGUAUAAUAAAAAAUUUAUUAUAUCUUUAAUAAUUUUAUCAAAAUUAUUAUUUAAAAUAUAUACAUACUACAUAUUAUUAAUUUUUGUUUUAUAACUAUAAUUUUUUUCCUACCGCAACUGUAAUUUAAAAACUACAGCACCUCAAUCCCAAACAAGACUUUAGUGGAUGCGAGCGCGAAAGACGAUCACCCAACAUUUGCGCUUGUGAGAGACUCCACUCUCUCCACUCCUUCCAAAUCCAAAAUCCUCGACCGUUUCAAAAAUCUCGGCGUCAAUUUAGUUCCUGUGCGCCACUCUUUUAGCUUUCCAUUUUUCCUGCCAAUUUUCUUUUAUUGUGAUUAAUUAAUUAAUGUAAAGAUUUUAUAUUAUAAUUUUGUUUUCAGGGAGAUCUAUACAGCCAUGAGAGCUUGGUGAGUGCAAUAAAGCAAGUGGAUGUGGUGAUAUCAGCGAUAGGUCGCACUCAAUUAGCUGAUCAACUCAACAUUAUCGCAGCAAAUUGCGAUAACUAAUUACUUGGGAUUUUAAAGAAGCUGGAAAUGUUAAGGUACUGAUUAACUUAAGUAAAUGCGUUAACUAAUUACUUGGGAUUUUAAAUUCAAAUGCGUGAAUUGUUCUAAAAAAUGAUUUAUGUUUAUUAGUCAGAGAUUCUUUCCUUCAGAAUUUGGAAAUGAUGUUGAUCGCGUGCAUGCCGUUGAGCCAGCAAGAACAUCAUUUGCCACCAAGGCUAAAAUCCGCCGAGCUGUUGAGGCUGAAGGAAUUCCAUACACCUACGUAGCUUCCAAUUUCUUCGCUGGUUUGUAUCUUUCCAGUUUCUCACAGCCUGGAGCCGCAGCUCCUCCAAGGGAUAAAGUGGUCAUCGUAGGUGAUGGAAAUGCAAAAGGCAAAGCGCUUCUGGAUACAUUUACUCUGUACACGCAGUGUGUGGUUACUGUUUAGGGAUAAAAAAGGAGAUUAAUUAAUAAAGAAAAUGAAAUUAUUGAGGGAUUUGCUGAAGAGUUGCGUGCACUCCUCAUUUUUCUCCACCACUCAUCUUACUUGCAAAAUGCAAUGACCAAACUAUCCUCGCCAAAGCCUAGACAUUUGCUUGUGUUCAAAGGCCAUUUAAGGGAGACAAGUACAAAAAAUUAUAAAGGAUAGUGAGCAAAAGAAGAAAAUGGAAGGGGGAGAGUAAAAAAGGGGAGUGGGGCGUUAUCCAGGGAGGAUUUUUAUUUUUAUUUUUUUCCUCUCUUCUCCAUGGCAUCUCUUUCUCUCUUUCUCCCACUAAGAAAUUCUUUCUUUUACACUCUAUUUUACUUUUCUACAAAUUACACAAAAAGCUUUUGGUUUUAAGGCAAUGUUUAUUAAGCCACAUGAACUUGAAAAAGCAUGAAUAAGGGGAUGAUUUUAACACAUUAAUUCACCAACAUUAAUUGGAAAAGAUCAGUUGCCACUUCGAAUCAGAGUAAUUUCUUCGGCAAUAGCCAAAUAUUGAUAUUUGAUCUUGACACUGUAGUUAAAUGAAUGUAACUGGUUUUGUCAUUUGAUCCCCAGCAUUUUUUUAACAAGGAAGACGAUAUUGGAAUCAAUUCUAUCAAAGCGGUGGAUGAUCCAAGAACACUGAACAAAAUACUUUACAUCAGACCCCGUUGCAGUAUCUACUCAUUCAAUGAUCUUGUGUCUCUGUGGGAGGAAAAGAUUGGCAAAGCCCUUGACAGGGUCUAUGUUACAGAGGAACAACUUCUGAAAAACAUUCAAGGUUAGUUAGAACUAUCACUUUAUUCGUUACUGAUGACAACACAUGGAGAAAUUUUCCUUGGUCUUAUCAAGUGGAUAGAUGUAACUGACCGAUAAUGGAAAAUUUUUUCCUUCUCCAAAAUGCGAUAGAAUCUAAUCGGUUUCAACAAUCUCAAGAACAUCUAUUCAUGGUUGUGUUGUUUGAAAUCUGUAUGUAUCAGUUUUCUUUCUAGAUCUCAGAUUGCUCGCAAGGAUGUCAAGUUUUGAUGAUGCUUGCCUGUUUUCCUGUGUUUACAGAAGGCUCAUAUCCACUCAAUAUGAUAUUAUCUAUUGGGCACUCUGCCUAUGUCCUGGGAGAUUAGACCAACUUCGAAAUUGAACCUUCAUUUGGAGUAGAGGCAACCGAGCUUUGUCCAGAUGUCAACUACACUACUGUGGAUGAGUACCUCAACCAGUUCAUAUAAACCUUCUGAGAUGAGCAGCAGGAUCCUAACCAAAAAUUGGGUGGUUUCCAUCCCUGAUUCUAUGGUAUAAAGAUAGCGGCUUUCCAUGCUUUUGCCAGUUCAAUGAAGUUUGUUAGAUGAUGUUAUUUAUACUAUACUAGCAAAGAUCAAGUUGCCUUUCUUGUCAAGAAGCCAAGCUCUGGCAUUGGUUUAUGCUAGUUUUUCACACUAAUAUUGGUAUUCACUAAUUUUUUUUUUUUCAUUUCACACCUCCAUCAUCAGUUGAGAUACCCUCUUGUAUGGUACUAACUUUGAUUUUCCUUAUGCUUCACUUGCUGUCUCUGCAGAUUCGUAAAAGAUCAUUCAUGGAUAAGAUCAGAACAUCAAUGUAAUACAGUAUGCAUUGAGAACUCCCACAUGAGUCUUGUUCUAGUUCUCGUUAGACAUGAAACAUGUUACAGUUCCAUAACUUGAGACAUUGUCAUUCAACAAUUAUCAUCGCAUUAAAACAGUGGCCAAUCCCUAACAGCUACCUUUUGACUCUUCACAUUUUUUUUCUGCAUUUUAUGCGCAUUAAUUAUCCAGACCUAGACUUACUCUUCUCAGCUUGGCCCGUUGGACAGUGAGUGAUGAAACAGAAAAUUUUUCAUGUUUAUGAAUGUAUGAAGUAUCUCUUCUGCACUGCACCGGCAUCCUCCUUAACUGUCAGUAGGAUCACAAUAAGUCGACCAACCAUCUACCGUAUGGAUUAUCUAUAAAUUGAAAUUGGUGUGUAUUAUGGAUCUGUCACUCUGCUGCUUCUGUUUUCUUUUCUAUUUUUACCAAGAAAGAAACAUUGUUAAAACUGAAUGGUUGUUAUCUCGUCUUGUUGUAAUGUUGUGUAUGCUUUCUAGAAAAUAAUGAAGUGCCAAAUAUGAAAAUACUAGUGGCUACCUUACCAUCCUUAAUAAGUUGUCUGAUUGUCACCGUCAACAAUCACUCUCAGAAACUCAUAAUCCAUUUAAGCAUAUUAUAAAAUAAUCAAUUUUGUAUUUGCACCAACUUUUAGUUUUAAAUGACAAUUUCGUUGAUCCCCUCACACUUCUGUACUAAUCAAAUCCACUGAAACUGGACUUUUUUUUUUUUUUUUUUAUAAUUACAUCGAUUGCAAUGGCUAUUGCAGGGAAAAGACAGCCUCUACAGGGAACUAAACUUUCAGAAUUGAUCUUAUGAGGGUUUGAAUAUGCUCUCGUACUAGGUCAAUGGCCUAUUGGUUCGAGACCAUUCACAAAGAAAGAAAUGAGUUUUGCUUGUAUAAAUGAAAGAAAUCCAAAUGAUAACUAAUGUAUAGUGGUACAUGAGAAAAAUAAUUUCAGCCCCUGUGUAAAGUCAAAAAGAGAAAAUAUUAAAAGAAAGGAUAAUGUCAUUGAGUUCGGUGAAGUGAAAGAAAAUAAAAAACAUGGGAUUUAGUCAAACUUAGUGUCCCAAUCAGCAGAAAAAGGUUUUAGAAACUCACCUCAAGUUAAGCCAACUAUUAGGAGCUUUAUUUAAUCAUGGCUUUCUAAUGUAUAGUACUCCAAUACUAAACGAGGGCUACCUCUACGCUUGCAAAUGUAAAUGAAAUUGAGUUCGUGACGCACAAUGAAGUGAGCAAAAUGAGUUGAGAUCUGAGAAUAUAUUAAAGAAAAUAUGAAUCAAUGAAUUUUGGUUAAAAAAAACAAAUGCUGGUUCUUCAAGACCUGCGUGUAUUGUGUAAGUUUUGUUAGGAGAAGGAAAGCAUUUUGGUCUAAAACGCACUAAAUCGGAUUCAUUUGCUUGAUAUCUAAUAAGGGUGAAUUAACCACUCGCCCACAGCAAUUCAAGUACCCAAAAAAGUUUUGUGGGGGCUAAAUUUCUUCUUUAAUUAUAACAAAUAAUUGAGCGGAGGAUAAAAAUUUAGGCCAUGUAUAACAAUAACUAAUAUAAACUAGUCCUAAUAAUAGUAUAAUUGUAAAUAUCAGUUGUAGUCUCAUACAAUAUAAGUUUAUAGAUUAUAAUAUCGGCAUAAAAAGAAAAAUGAUAUCUGACGGUCAAUCAAUAAAAGGACAAAAACUUGGAGUAACAUACCACAAAGUCAAUGUAGCUGGACAGUGAAUAUAAUAUGUAAACAAAUUUAAAUGGGAUAAUACCAUACGGUACAUACAUAACAUUUUAAAACUGAAUUAAAAAAAUAAAAUUAAAACUGAAUUGGAAUUCGUAUGUGUAUCCAGCUACCUUGCCACAGUUGUAAGGUACCCUAACUUUGCAACAAUUUCAUCCUUCGUGCAUUCGGUCACAAAGUCCAAAUUAGGCACGUUUAAGAAUCGAACUGAAAAACUAAAAAAAAGAAUCCGGCGAUAUUUGCGAACCGGAAACGAGCCAGCGUUAUGCUUAUGUCAUUUCAGAGAUAUCAACAGUCGUGCUUUCAGUCCUUAAACCUCAAGGGCAUUUUCGUCCUUUCACUCAAGCGUGAAACUGCAUGUAAGAACUGCUUCGCUUACACGCUCCAUGCACAUUUAAAGGCACCACUGUCGGAUAAAAAAUAUCCAUCCAUUUGAUCAUUUCAAAACAAAACGAAAAAAAAAAUCUCAGUAAUUGAACUGAACGAGUCUCAGAAAUGGCAUCGAAAAGUAAGAUUCUAUUCAUCGGCGGGACAGGGUAUAUCGGUAAAUCCACUGUCGAAGCGAGCGUAAAAGCCGGCCACCCGACGUUCGUGCUCGUGAGAGAAUCCACAAUCUCUGGUCCUUCCAAAUCUCAACUCCUCGAUCACUUCAAAAACCUCGGCGUCAAUCUCGUCAUAGUGCGUUUUCAUUUUUCUCUUUUCUUAAUUUUUUAUUCCGAUCAUUUUUACACGUCGAAGUGUAGCAUCUACUACUUAAUAUACAUAAUGAUAUUAUUAUUUUUUAAUUUUUUUGGGUUGCUGUUAUUAUUAUGCAGGGAGAUGUGUUGAAUCACGAGAGUUUGGUGAAGGCGAUUAAACAAGUGGACGUGGUGAUAUCAACGGUCGGUCACACUUUAUUAGCUGAUCAGGUCAAGAUUAUUGCUGCCAUUAAAGAAGCCGGUAACGUUAAGGUAUAACAUAAUUAAUGUAAAUGUCUUAGAUUCCGAUCAGGAUUGUGCACUCGCGAACACGUGGUGAUUUAUUCUUGGUGUGGAGCUCGCUGUAGAGUAGAGCUCCCAGUUCAGCUAAUAAACACCCCGUCACAUGCGCAAUUGCGCCUCAAAAUAAUUUAAUUGAUUAAUUAAGGAUAAAUACCAAUGGCAUGAAAGCAAUUAAAAUUAGUUGAUGUUUAUAAAUUAUUUAUUACUCAGAGAUUCUUACCAUCGGAAUUUGGAAAUGAUGUUGAUCGAGUUGAAGGCGCCGUAGAGCCAACAAAAUCGACGUAUGACGUAAAGGCGAAAAUCCGCCGAGCCGUUGAGGCAGAAGGCAUUCCGUACACUUACGUAGAAUCUUAUUGUUUUGAUGGCUAUUUCCUCCCCAAUUUGUUGCAGCCUGAGGCCACUGCCCCCCUAGGGAUAAGGUUGUCAUCUUAGGCGAUGGAAAUCCAAAAGGUAAUAUAAUUUAAUUAAGCUCUGUUUGUUUGGUAUGUAUUUCGGUGUUAAUGUUAUUGUCUGUUGUACAAUGGAUGGUCUUGCUUGGUACUGUUGUUGGAGAGCUGCAGUGUUUUGAUAAACACCUCUAUCCUUAGCUUUCAAGUUAAGUUGAUUUUAUACAACACUUGUUUAAUUCAAAACUUGUAAUAUUCUUACUACUUUGAUAAAAAAUAUUACGAUUAAAGCAUUAAUGGCACCAUAAUACGAAAUGAACCUUAAGUGGUCAUUAUAGAUUUUAAGAUAGAGUUUUAAGUGAUUACCAGAUACUUUAGCUGCUGAACCGCCACAUCAUGGUUGCCACACAACAAUUUCAAACAGAGCCUAAAUAACUUCAUUGCAAAACAGUUAAAUGAAUCUAACUUAGUUUCGUCGUUUGAUUUUCAGCUGUUUUUAACAAGGAAGAUGAUAUUGGAACCUACACUAUCAAAGCGGUUGAUGAUCCGAGAACCUUGAACAAAAACUUUUACAUUCAGCCUCCCGGUAAUAUUUACUCAUUCAAUGAUCUUGUGUCUCUGUGGGAGAGAAAGAUUGGUAAAACCCUCGAAAAGGAGUAUGUUUCAGAGGAGCAGCUCCUAAAGAAUAUUCAAGGUUGGUUAAAACUCUCUUUUUUUAAAUGUAUUAAAGAGAGCCGUAUAUUCUCUGCCGUAAAUGUUAUUGAUCCUGUCUUCUCCAAAAUGUUGCAGAAGCUGCACCUCCACACAAUGUGAUAUUAUCAAUUUAUCACUCUGCUUUCGUGAAGGGAGUUCAAACCAACUUCAAGAUUGAACCAUCUUUUGGAGUUGAAGCCUCGCAGCUUUAUCCUGAUGUCAAGUACACUACAGUUGAUGAGUACCUCAAUCAGUUUGUGUAACCCUUCUCUGUUUCCAGCUGCAGCUUGCAGGAUCUUGGACUGUUGGUAAAUAAAUAAUUGGCUUGUUGCCAUCUUUGGUUUUAUAUGUAAAAAUUAUGGUUGUUGGCCUUACUUUCUUCUGGUUGUCCAUGGAAUUUGUUAGACCAUAUUUUGUUUGCUAUGUCAGUGAUCAAAUGAAGUAGGCCAUGUACUUGAUUUGAGAGUAGUAGUUAUAAAGCCAUCAUGAUCAGGUGGGUGCGUGGGUUGGGCUUCUAUUAGGGUGCGUGUGUUGGGCUUCAGGGGCUUGUGAUAUGGGUUCGACAGCC
rnacentral:lncRNA from 1 species